CUUUUUUUUGUUUCUCGAACUCUUGCUCUAGCUGCUGUUACUGUUGUUGUUUUUUUCCUCUUCUUCACUGCUUGUAAUCUUCUUAGUGGCUUUUCAAUAAAUUUUCAGUAGAGGCUCUUCGAGCCUCUCCUGUUUGUUCAAAAAACCAGAGGCAUAACCGCAAAUAAAAACUAUGGUACGUGCGAAGUAUGAACACACCCACAGCCCGCAGGCAGCCGCCACACAUCUCCACUAACGAGGGACACCGCACACACAGAUCACAUAUAAUCAAACAAUUCGGAAUGGACCACGCCGCAAAACAACAUAGAGCGCCAAAAUACCUGGCAGAGGUUGUAGGUGAAGCUGUCGUAGUUAUCGAUGACAAUGAUGGGCUGCUUCUCCGUGGCCGGGGGGCCGUCCAGGUCGGCCACCGGCGCCGCCGCGGCCGGCCCCGCGGCGGCGACCAACGGAAGAGCCGCCCUGUUUCCCUUAACCGACAAGCCAGCGCUCGCAAUGCCUGCGGGCGGAAGAAGCAGAUACAGGCAGUCCGUCAACAAUGCGGCGAAUCAGGCCAGGAUGGGGGCGGAUGAGGUGGAACCGGGUAAGAGCGAUUCGUACGAGGCGUCGACCGUAGUUGCGCGAAGGCGGCGGCUGGGGAAUGCGCCCGGGAACGAACCGCUGCGGUGGCGAGGGAGGAGGCCCCCGCGGCGGUGAGCUGGGAGCAGACCAUCUCGGCGGUGGCGGGCGGUGAGAGGGAGCGAGGGUGGGGAGGCGGAGGUGCCGCGCGGGGUGUCACGUGUUGGAGGUGUGGGGCGAGGUUUGCUUGCCUCUAUAUAUAGAAUUUUAUGCAUACAGAUCGAAAAAAAAAGUGGUUUUUCUCAAAAGAAAAAAACGUAGAUGGGUCGGACUUCCAUUUAAAAAAUACUAUAGAGAAAUCCAACACUUAUGUUUUUUCUUCUUCUCUUCUCUUAGAGCAUCUCCAAGAAACUUUGUAUAUUUUUUCUAAAUGUUAGGAAUAGCAAUUUUGGUAAAAAAUUACCCUCCAACAGCUUCUCUAAAUGGCCAUCCAAAUAUAGCCAUUGUCUAUUCUAGGUUUUUCACUAGCCAAAUAUAGAAGACGAGAAUGACUCUCUAGAGUGCGCUGUGCGCAUGAGAUUUAGCAAAACUGUUGCAAAGUAAAAAAAAUAUAGAAAACGAUUUUUAUACAAAUGACUCUCCAAAUGAUGAUUUAGAGAGUGAGAUUUAGAAACCUCCCUUCUUCUCUUGCUACGACGCAGCGCACUUACAAAAGGAAAUUGGGGAGACAGCGGCAAGACGAAGGUGAUAAUAACGAAUUAACGCCACUCAAGCAGACAGCAAAGUAGGCGGCCAAACUAGGUUGGACCGGGGCGACCAUAGCCAUGACAACGGUAGGAAAAGAAGAAGAAAGAGGUCAUGGUGGGCAUGGUAGGAUUUCGCUGGAGCUCCAUUAAGCUCCGAGACCCUAUCGUGUCGCGAUGGGGCAGUGCACGGUGGCGGGGCGUUUCGUGGAGACACAAUGAAUGACCAUGGAUCGGAGAUGUCUAGAUUUAUAAAAAAAUAUUAGUAAUAUUUAUAUCUUAUUAUAAAAAUAUAUUUGAUAAUUUAUCUAAUUAUAUUAAAUAUGCAUUAUAAAUGUUAAUAUUUUUUAAUAUAUAUUUGAUCAAAGUUAAGCGUAGAAGAAGCGAUAAUGACUUUUUUUGGAGGGGGGUGACGGAAGGAAUAUUUGGGUAAUUUUUCUGACGUAGAGUAGUAGUACAGUAAAUAAUAAUAUCUUAUCUAGAGGAAGAGGAGAAAAAAAAAAGAGCCUGGAUAUGAAUGGAUGGUGCACGACAGAUCGAGCACUAGCCGCGCCGCGCUUAGCCCGUUUUCCACCUCACGCCCGCGCCGCCGCCGUGCCCGUGCGUGCGUUGGCGUCCGGUACUGAGUCAGCAGCCUACUCGGUCCGGUGCCUUGGCGUCCGCGUCCGACGACGGCCCCGGCCCCGGCCCCAGCAGCAAAGUGCCCCACAGUUGUACAGGUCCCCCAAGGCCUGGCCACGCCACGCACGGGCUCCGCAGCCGGACGCAUCGCGCCUGUGGUGUGUGUGCCCGCCGGCCGCCCGGAAGAAUCCAACGGGUGCGGCCGUGCGGGGGGUGCCUGCUCGCUUGCUGACGCGGCGGAUCGGUGUCCUGCUCCUGUCCGGAAGGGACCGGUAAACACCUGCGGAACUCUGGUGCUGCCGGCGAUGUCGUGGUCAAAACGGUACCAUGAGCGAGUGAUCUCGCCGGAGACGACGCCGGUCUUGCUACGAUACGAAGGACGGUGUCUGGUACUGGUAGGUGACGUGGGCAGAAGAGAUGGGAUUUGCGUGAUUUUAUUUAAGCAUGGCGAAGAAGUAUCUGUUUGUCAAAACUCUGAUUCUACUACUCGCUGUUGAAUGAAGUUCGGUUGACAAACGCUGCUAGCAUUUUCAAUUCCGCCCCGACUGCGUGGCAAACGUUUUAUAUGAUCUUUAUACUACAACGGCAAACAACACGUGCAAGGAUGUUCACUGCCGUUUUACCACGCUAGCAGCUGUCCCGUCACGGACAGGAAAAGCACGUACGUCCCAAAUUUUGUGAUGCCAGAUGAAUGAAAAUGACCGAGGAAAGUUCGAGCAAGACAGAAAAGUCAGAAAAAUGUUUGUUCACCCGGUUCACCGAUGAAAAGCAAAAAUCUAUUCUUCUCCAUGUGAACGGUGUUAUUAGGGCACGCGCCCAAGCCCAACGUGAGCUAACACCAUCGUAUGCCCCAGCUUAAUUCGUCGAUCCACGUACAUAAGAGAAUCUCCGGUGUAUAUCAAAACCGAACCAUGGGAAGAGUAUGAUUUGAUCUGUACACUGGAUCAAUCGAACCAUAGGAAAUCUUUCUUCGGUUCGGAGGUUGAAGAUGGUUCGAACCAUGUUGAAUAGAAAAAUGAAAGAGCGGUAGCCAUUCAUGAGGUUUAAGCCGGUACUUUGCUCUCCCAAAAGCUGACGUUUUUUCAUUUUUCUAAUCUAAAAUGGAGGUCACCAACGAACCAAACACUACAGCUAUAUAUUGAACCAUAUCUUAAACUGACAAUUUUGACAAUUUGGUUCGGUUGGAUUGGAUCUCCACACUGGAGGUGUUCUAAGGAAAUCUCAGGGGCAUAUAUCUUGCGGCUUUUGUAGACAUAUGCUUUUUGUCAGAAGCAUUUGACAGUGCAUGUAACAGCCUUUGUCCCUUUCUCUACUUCGCAAGCUUCGGCUUUGUGUCUGGCGAGACUACCGCUUCUUCUACAAGAGACUACCUAUUUGUUUCCACUCAAUCGCGCGUUCACGGUGGCCCAUCGUGGAGAAUCCUGCCGAAUGACAUACGUUGCGUCAACAACCACCCAUCGCCGAAAAUAAACUACAUCUCAUGAUUCGUGAAACGCGGCCGCGGACCCACGUUCACUCAAUCGCGCGUUUGCGAUAUCGCACUGCGGAAAUAAACAAGGUCUCUAAACAAUUGUGGAUCACCACUCUAGACGGCAUGGAGUCUUGACGCCUACAUGGAUCGUGUUGCGUUGGGAAAGCUCUUGGUAGCCUAUAAAUUAACACAUCUUUUGAUAGUGGAGAUAGCCCAUGGAAUUUAAAUAGUACUCGUUUGGAUCUAUCCACCCAAUUAUUUGAUGUAUUAGCUCGAAAAAACUAGUUAACAACUAAGUAUUAGCCGGAUAAUAGGUAAGACAUUAGUUUACCGAUUGAUUGAUGAUCCAAACAUGAUCUUAAAUUUUUAUUUUGGCAACAACAUGAUCUCAAUUAAGCUAACUAGUAGCAUGAGGUAGAUCCAAAUAAACCCUAAGGUUUUUUAUGCUUGCUUAUAUUAGAGCAAUAAUAUUAUCAUGUAAUGGAUUUCUUUUUAAAAAAUAUACAACGUCUAAUUUUAUUGAACAAGGUUUUACAACCAACAUUUAAUACUACCUCGGGUCAGUUUAAAGUUGUGAUUUUACAAAAUAAAACAAAUUGAAAAACAAGCUACUUCCUCCAUUCCGAAACAUAUGGUUGUAUCAUGAACACUUCUCCUUAUCUCAUAACUAUCAAAACGGUAGAAUUCUCCUAGUGUUUUUAAGUAGUAAUAAAACUACACUACCACUAGUCAUAGCACAUGAGAAUCUCACUAAGAGGCAUUUAGUAGAGAAACUUUAUACUAAAUUUUGAAUGUCAAAACACUAGGAGAAACCCACAUUACAAGGAGAAGACUAAAAUUCUGGAGGUCAUAUCGGAUUGUAAUCUCCAUGACUUGGGAUAUAUAUGACAAAUUGACAAUAAACAAGAAGGUCCCAAAAAUGUUAAAGUCGAAUUGACAGGGUUGUAGUUUGCCCAGAUGCUUCCCUACAACACAGUCUAUUCAUCUACCUCUCUUGCUCAAUAUGUUCAAAUCACAUGCACAUAGAAAGUUAGGCAGUGUUUACAUAUAUGAGGCCUUUUGGAAGAGAACCACUAAGAAGGAAAAGGCUCCUGGCUGAGAUGGAGGAAUUGCUAUAAGAGAGAGGGAGAGAGAGAGAGAGAGAGAGAGGUUAUGACACCAACGCUCUAGAGCCCUAUGGCUAAAGGAAGGAGAUAGAAACACCUGGUGUUUCCAACUUUCCAUGGGAAGGCAUCCUGGAUGCUAAAAAAUAGAAUUUUUGACUAUAUUAUUGAGUUAUUGUGCUAAUUCCAAAAAAAAAAGAUGUAAACGAGCUCAAAAAUAUAUUGCAGACCACUAUGGGCAUGAGAUGUGAGUUUAAUUCAAAGACAAGACAAUAAACCAAUUAAGACUCUUAUCUCUAAUUUAUCAUGUACUGCUAUUUUUUUAUUGUAAAACCGGCUGGAACUCCCAAGAACAGUGGAACACUUUGGAAGAAAGUGCAAUGGAUGACAAUUUGAAGGGCGCUAAUGUUUUCUUCUAUCACUGCAUUCUUUCUCAUCCGCGUCGUACGAAUUCAUGCAUUCGCCAUUCCCAACAUCCUGCAAUGUGACCUUAUCUCGUUCCUGGUGGCUUCAAUUUGGGUUUCUCCGUUCCAAACAAACACAAACCGCCAAUUCCAAACAGGCACUGUCUCUCGUGUCUAGUCGGAUCGUGAUUACGAACCCGUUUGGCUGGUGGGUACCGAACAGCCGGGUUCCAGCACCAACCCAACCGCGGGGGAAAGGGGGGGAACCCUACGGCCCGGAGCAGCGCUUGGGAUUGGGAACCGCGGGCACGCGAGGCGUCGACGCCGUUGAGGUCGAGCCGACCGGCGGCUCGCGGCCCCGCCACAGCGCGGAGGUAACUACAACCCGCUCUCACCUUUGCCUUGUCCCUGCUCUUGCGGCCCCUCGCCGUUUAGGUCACCUUCCGGGCGGGUUUGAAUCCGCUGGGGACUAGAUUCAGGUGGGUUAGUGCGACUCGAUCCGGUGAGUCCCCGGACUCGACGCGAUGAUGCUGAUAAGCGUUUGCUGUCGAGGCGGCGGCUCACUCCGUGCUCCUUGGUGAUGUCGAAUCGGUGGUUGCUGGAUGUGGUUUUGAUCGUGCGGUGGUGCCACAUACAACUUGUUCGAUUAACUUCGGCUCGUGCUUGUGAAUUGGGCGCGUCUGUUCAUGCGGAUCUCUCUCUCUGUUACUGAUCAGUAGCAGGUGGAGUAAGAUUUGUGCUUGGACGCUUCCAAUGCAAUUGGUUGCCUAUGCUGCUCGUCUCUAUUUGUUCCUGUAAUCUGAAUUUCUGUCUUAGUGGAACUUAAUAAAGCAGCAAUACUUGCUUAUCUCUCUCUUUUUGUUGGGGUCUUGAGUGUUUUGGUCAGUAUAUCAGCUGGCACGCACUCACGAAUGAAAUGGAAUCGAGUACCAAUGUGCUUAUUAUGUGUUCAUCAAUCAUCAGAACAACAGAAUUUUCAUCUAUUCUAUGGUCGAUUUGUUGGCAGCAUAGUACAGAGCAACUUGCUCGGGCUUCCCUCCUAUCAACAUGCUUGCUAGUCCUUGCAGCCACAUGGCUUGGCGUGCUGCUGCCAUAGCUGCCAUAAACCCAGCAUCGCAUGAUGGAAGUGCAUCCUUUCAGGUUUAGCAUCAUGCAGGCAAUGCUAAAUGUAUGGUCUAUAGAAUGUUAGUAGGUUCUGGAUGAGAUAUCAGUUGAAGAUAACCUUUUCUUUGGUACAUUUUUGUUCACCGUAUGUAAAUGUAUGGCAUAGGAAAGAUAUGCUAACAUCACAUUCUGUCAUGCACUCAUGCUUCCUUAGCUUUUAAGUUUUAACAUGAAUGAAUAGUUAUAAUUAUAAUUGUAUGUUUCUUUCUCUGCUAGAGAAUACUGUUAGGUUCUGGUUUAUAUGUUAGCUGUCCUGGCACUAAUAGAACUGACUUAUUCCAACAAGAAUGCCAUGUAACCAGCCAUUGACUUGGUAUAGAAGUGUUAUGGUUCAAUUGUGCUUGCAUUAGAAUUUCAGUACUGAAUGGAAUGUGGGUCUUUUUCUUUGUCUUUAGCAUUUUAUCCAUUUUAGUUUUAGCUCCCUCAUGGCCUCGUCACGAGUACAAUAGAUGUUUUCUGACCUAUUGCAGUUUUCUUUAUAGGCCUAUUGCAGGGUUAAAUGGCAAAUAGAGCAAGAUGGAUGAUGAAGUACGAAAAGGGUCUUGUUGAUAUACUUCAUGAGAACAAUAAUUCACACUAUCGUACCCCAAACGGUUGGAGAACCGAUGGGUGGAGGAAAAUUGUUAGGGAUUUCACUGUGAGGUACCCUGAAGCAAAGUUUAGUAAACCGCAAAUCCAGGAACAUGAGACUCAAUUGAAGAAAGACUAUAAAUUGAUAAAAUCUGUCCUCCAACGUGAUGGCGUCUCAUGGGACCAGAGUGCAUCCAUGGUUAGAGCAACAGAUGAAAUCUGGGAUGAGAUAAUCGAGGUGAGGGCUUAGUUCUUCUACCCUUAUCUCAUAUAUAUGCAAACUUUUAAAAUUCUUUUAAAUUUUGUAGGAAAUGCCCAAGGCACGAAAGUACCAAAGCAAGAGCUUUCCGUUGCUUGACUCACUUGAGCUGUUAUUUGAUGGUGAGCACCUCCAUCCACCUCACCGGGGCACAUGCAUAACCACCCUACCUACAGCUGGAAGGCUGAGGAGAAGAACUGUGCUAUACACUGAUAUCUUUUGGUUUACUAAAAAUAUGUUACUCUGAUAGGUCCUAUUCCUGAAGGGGAACAGAAAUCGCCUUCCAGCAUACCUCAGAAUGUUGGUGGAAAUGACGAUGGAGGCAACAAUAUUAGCACAGUCCCAGGCUUGUCUGAAAGACCUAGUGGUGCCUCAUGGGACAAGAGUGCAUGGAAUAAUAUUAGCUUACUUCAGCAGACAGCAUUAGGACCCCAAGGUAUAGACGAUAUCGACAUGCUGCAAAAUCGUGAUGAAGAGGUGCUGGAGCUACUACAACAUGGUGCGGACCGAAGGCCACAAAGAGCUGAUGAACAGGCACAGUCAAGUUCUUGUGUAGAACUACAGAGAGACAGGCGCAAGAAGCGGAAGGUCCCAGACGUCCAGCAGAUCAUGGAGACCUACUUGAAUUUCAGAAUGAAGCAAGCUCGCGUCAAAGAACAAAGAGCAAAGGAUGUUGAUCAGUUCACGAUUUCUAGCUGUAUCAAGGCUCUGCACCCUAUGCCAGAUGUGUCGGAUGAGGUCAAGGUAUUAGCCUCUGAUGUUUUCAAGGACCCUGAGAACAGGGAGAUCUUUCUUUCCUAUGAACCUAGGCUGCGCACCUUGUGGCUGAAGAGAGAAGUUGGCAAGCUACUCUCCUGAUAGUGGUCUUAGCCUCUUAGGUUGGUCUGUUGGUGUGGAGAAGUGGCAGCCCUUGCUUGUUCUUGUUUGUUGUCAGUCAUCGAUUCUGGAGGUUGCUAUUUUAGGCCUAGGCUUCAUUAUAACAAACUCUGUUAGUAAUUUUAACUUGUUCCAUGUGCAGUGCGUCACUGUGCUUCCUGAGAUGUAGUCAUUCAUGACCAAUGUUGUGCUUGCGGCGUGUAGUGCUUCCAAAAUUUUGCAUCUGUGCCAAUACAAUCUGUUGAAAAAUGAGACAGAAUGCGUUUCUUGACAACAGAAAUUCAGGAUUAUUCUCCCAUUGUGUACUAAAGAAAAAGAACCAUGGAAUUGUCCCAGAACACUGAGCGUCACUGAGAGGUAAAACCACCAUGAUACCUGCAGAUUAAUGGACUUCAAACCAUUCGCUUAGGCCUCCUUUAGUCCCUCCUCCUAAAGCUUACUAUCUCAUCGGAUAUUUAAACACAUGCAUGGAAUAUUAAAUAUAGACUACAAAAUAAUUAAAUGGACAGAUUAUGACUAUUUUGUGAGAUGAAUAAUUUAAACCUAAUUAGUAUAUAACUUGACAAUGUGGUGUCACAGUAAAACUACAGUAAACAUAUGCUAAUAACAAACUAGGGUUAAUAAAUUUGUCUCACGGAGUAAGGACUUAUAUAAUUUGUUUUACUAUUUGUGGUAAUUAUUGUCUAACCAUAUACUAACUAGACUCAAAAGAUUCGUCUCGUCAAUUUCGACCAAACUGUGCAAUUAGUUUUUAUUUUCGUCUACAUUUAAUACUCCAUGCAUGUGUCUAAAGAUUCGAUGCGACGGAAAAUUUUGAAAAAUUAUUGGGUUUUUAAGUGGAAGUAAACAAGGUCUCAUACGAAUGAGAACAAGAUUGCAAGAACAAGUGGGCAAUGGCAAUAAUAUUUUUCACCACAUGCUCUUUUACGACCUUUUUGAAUGCAAAAUAUUUUUAGAAGUACUGAAGAAAUGCUACGAUUUUACGAAGUACUUUGGUUUUCAAAUGCUACUGGGUGUUUAGAUACACUAAUUUUUCAUAAGUUUUAGAAACUCCAGUCACAAUCUCCCUUUUUUAUCACUAAGCCAUAGUUUUGUGAUACCCCAGUUCUCAAAAAAACUGUCAUCCAAACAGGUAUGUAGAGCCACUCACUACAAUCUCUUUCUCAAGCACAUUCGAUGUUAUGUGUGGCUAGGGUUAACCAUGUGUCAAACUUAAGCGAAGUGUCUAUUCAUGCUGAGAACACAGCUCAAACAAAACGUCCAGACUUGGAACCGCAAAUAGAAUAGAAAAUAAGACCUCAACAAACUGCAAGGAUGAUUAGCCAAUUUAAUCGAAUCUGCUGAGUCCAAAGAGCCAUUCCAUCAUUCUAAAAAUUGCUGCAAGGUCUGUCCGAUCUACCUUUGAGAAACAGGAGCUCAUUCAGUUCAUACCCACAUCAAGGAAAACACGCCUGAUAAAAAUGGUUCAAGAUUUGCAAUGAAUGAAAGACCAAUAGGUUGCUUCAUUGUUGGCAGCAACCAGGAGUCCAGGGCAAGAAAACAUCCAACAUUCACAAAUGAAACAGAAGCCAACACAAGCGUUCAUAAUAUUUUUAAGACACUUUUCACUCAAUACAUAGUUAAGGCUAAAUUUAAGUCUUACGUAAUAUCUAGAAGAUAAAACACUUUUCACUCAGUACAAAAUCCAUAGCUAAGGCUAAAUUGAAGGCUUCUAUGUCAUUUGCUAAACUAGAAUCUCUUUCUCCGGCAAAAUCAAAUGGUCAUGACAGUACCAAGCAAAGCUUUGAACUUUGAAGUUUUUUACCUCAAAUCAUGUGAGUCCAAACAAAUUCUAGGUCUGCCAAAUAAGUCAACAAUUCAACGUACAGGGACACUAGGUUUGACACAGACACUGAAUACAAACUAAAUUGAAAAGCACAAAUAGAAAUUUAUAAUGCAUAUAUGUGGCUCAACAUGAAUAAUGGAGUCCAGAUACAGAAUCUCCAUGCACACAAGGGCAAGCUAACUAGGCGGGGGGGGGGGGGGGGGGGCAUAAGUUUGUGCCAGCCUUCAAACCUCGACUGCAACAGUCUAACCAGCGUAACUCAGGACAAGCUGGCAAUGGCAACACCAUGCCAACCUCACAUGUAGCAAGCUUGAACUGACUGUAAUAUGAGCCCAUGAGGUUAACAGGUAACAAGUUACUUUGAUUGCAACGUUCAGUCUGAAAUAAUCACUGUUUUGUGGUUGUCCCAAGUCAGCAAUUUUAAGAUUUCGUUGCAUAUAAAUUUUUAUAUGUUGAGUUCAAAUAUAUUUUGAAAUGAUAAAAGUAGACUUGUUCUGAAAUUUAGUUUAAUAGAAGUAUACUCUUGCUAUUAAUGUAACAGGAAGCACUAGUCAAAGCUGAAUUCUGGGGAUCAUGUUGAUACCCAAAGUCACUAGUCAAUGUUUCAGACAUUAGGUUCAGGGUUAGAUACAUGGAAAUGAGGUGGAGAUACAAAAUACACAAUGAACUAGAAGAUCAGGUGAAGGAAGAUAAGACAUAAUAUAAUGCCAACUUACAAUAUGAUUUCAUCCCUUCUUGCCUUUAGCAGAAUAAUAAGAAUACCAACACUGGGAAGGAACAGUGAAUCAUCAUAAUAUGAAAUGUCAACUAAGACCAGCUCCAUUUUAAUGCUAUGUGCAAAAGAUCAGGCCCAUAGUAAAAGUAGAGAAGUCCAACAAACAAACAAUGCACAGUAUUAGAACCUACACUCAGCAGAUCAAAUCAGGUACAACCAACAGAUAAAGAGAAUAGAUAAUAAUUCCAAAACAAAGAAUGAGAUUGCGAAUACCUAAACUUAGUGCCUAACAUUAAAUAAACAACAGUUACUGCCAAAGUGCUCAUAUACUUAUAGAUAAGGACAUAACAGUCACCUUAUAUGGCAUAUAUAUUAUCUCACAAACUGUAAGCAACAAACAGUCCUCUCCAGCAACAUAUGCAUCACAUGCAACGGGAACAGUCUAAAACAGAUGAGUUUCUGGACAAGUCUAUAUGGAUUCAGCACCUAUUCCGAUAUUCACAUUUCUUUAUACCAAAAGCAGACGAUACGCAAAAAACAAGCAUAUCUGAUAGUAACAUGCAAUGGGGUAGAGCUACAACAUAGAACUAGUAUAACCCUGGCAGUCUAGUAACUUGGACCCAUGCUACACGAACGGGAUAGCCGCUUCUCCAUCUCUCGUCCAGUCCCAACUGCUGCUUUUGCACCACCUCCACCGCCGACGCCUUCUGCUGCAGAAACUGUGUUGUAUUGCUUCCUGCAACCUGGGCAGCGCCCAUCUUCCAACUUGAUCCUGUUGUGGCAGAAGAGGCACAUGUGAAACCCACAAGGGCAGGGGCAGAAGCUCGAAUCCGUCGGGUCAAGAUCAUCGCAGCAAAUGGGGCACGACAGCGGCAAUGAAAGAAUUCCCUGCUGCGCAGCGCUCAUUCCCAUCUCCGGCCAGCGGUUACCGAUGCUUGCUGGGAAGCUGGCCUGCUUGGAUAUGCUGGGUAAGCUUUGGGGUCGAAAUAUGUCAUCUGGUGCCCAAGCCCUUGUCUUGCUUCGAAUCGGUUCUGGUCUCGCUGCAUGGGCAGGUGCUGCAGUGGUCAGAGCUGGUGGGGGUGUGGGUGUGGGACCUGAACUCUGGUUACAAGAACUGUCAUCGAUAUAAAGCGCAUCAGCAGCCAUUUCCCAAUCAUCGAAGACUUCACUCUCAUCCUCAGGGCCGCCGGUAUCCUCCUCAGCAUCACUCACACUCCUUGAGCUGGACCAAACACUGCUUCCACUGCUGAGGCUGCGGCCACCGCCAUUGCCAGAGAACCCUUUCCUCUGAUGGCAGUCACCACCUUGGGACUUGUCUGAGCCUGGGGAGUCAAGGCCACUGCCGUCUACCUCAAGGCCAGCAGCACCAGCCUCCUCCCUGUCCUCCGGAUCACUACCCCUUGAUCUGGAAUCAACCCGGCGACGAGGAAGUGGAGGGUGCGGGGAAGCAAGGAUGGGUGAGCCAGCAUUUGAACCUGCUCCUGUUGGUGAAGUUGCAACCUUGGCAUCAUUGCCAUCGUUGCCUGGACCAAUCCAAAACGAAAGAAUAUAUAAGAUAUUAAACGAAUCCACAACAAAAAAAAAGAACACAAACUUAUUAAACUUUACAGCUAAAUCACCCCAAUCAACAAACAGAUAUAUAUAUCAUUCAGAAGCAGCACCUGAAAAACAAAAACAAAAAAAUCCAGAACUAUGUCUCAGAGAAGAUCAUAACGUACUUCUCACAUAACAGAUGAACAGAUCAUAACUUGCAUAUAAAACCUGAAUCCGACACAUGGAGAGAUCAACGACGCAUGGAGAGAUCAACGACCGCAUACACACCACUACCACUGCCACUGACGAAUCCCAAAUACAAAGACAGAAAUCCCCAAAAUCACAAACACAUAUUAAUACAACGGACAGACCAGGCAUGAGAUCAGACCUUGCCCCUUGGACAGAAACUGCCCGCGGCGCGUCUCGCGCUUGCUCUGCUUCAGCUUCGCCGCCGAGCGGUUCCCCUGCAAGGCGCACCCCGGGGGAAAAAAAUAACACAGAACUCAGAUCAGAUCAGCAAGCGGCGGAAUCAAAUCAAAUCAAAUCCAAACCAACCGGGAACCCCUCGCCCCGAAUCGAACCAGAGAGAUCACCCCGACCCCAACCCCAAAGGCGAACAGCCCCUCUUACCCUCUUCUUCUUGGCGUCGCGCGCGGCGGCCGCCGAUGCGGGGGAUGCGGCGUCGCUGUUCCCCAUCACUCCUUGUGGUGAGUGUCGGCGGCGGACUGGUGCGCUGCUGCCGGGACGGGCUCGUCGACGCGCGUGCGUUAGAGGGGAGCAGGAGGAGCGAGAAAACCCUAAAAAGCGAUGCGGCGAGCGGCGAGAGGGAGGCGGAACGAUGGGUGGAUAGAUAACACGCACACGAGGGCGGGGCGGAGUUAAUGGAAAGAGAGGACGAAAGGGAGACGAAAUCUGUUGGGCCUUUUCCGUUUGCCGUCCAUUGCAGUUUUAUUGAUCCACGGCGGCGCCCGGCAAAUGACGGGAUUGCCCUCCGCUAACAGCAACUGCAAGCAAACCUUCGUGUUUUGUCUUAUAACGCCAGGUCUGGUUUAGUUCUAAAAAAUUUCGUAAAAUAGAAAUAGUAGUACUUUCGUUUGUAUUUGAUAAAUAUUAUUUAAUUAUAGACUAACUAGACUCAAAAGAUUCGUCUCGUCAAUUCCGACCAAACUGUGCAAUUAGUUUUUAUUUUCAUCUAUAUUUAAUACUCCAUGCAUACGUCUAAAAAUUUUGAUGUGACGGGGAAUCUGAAAAUUUUUGCAAAGUUUUUGAGGAACUAAACAAGGCCCCAGUCUCAAUAUAUGUUUCAUGAGAGUGUCAUGCACAUUAAAUAGAAUAUCACAUAAGUAAAAUUGCUGACUUGGCAGGGUCAUUAAAUAAAAGAGUUUCAUCAGAUGAGAGAGGAGUUUCAUCCUCAUAAAACUCUUGUGGCUUGGUUACCUAGUUUAUAGUUUUGGUAACUGUGCUAUGAAACUAUGCAUCGAGACUGACCUAAAGGGGUGUUUGUGCUCCACGUUUUUCAGCUCUCCUCCACGUUUUUUAGCCAAACAGUUUCAGCUCCAUGCACUCAGUUCGAGAAAAAAGGGUGGAGUUGUGAAAGCACCUAAAGAGGUACUCCACGAACUCCAGUUUUUUUAGAGCUGCUCCAUAGUGGAGUUUGUGGAGCAGAGUUUAUGGAGUAGUGCCAAACACCCCCUAAAUUCCUUCAAAUUCAAAUGAGGGACUCACGUCCAUAUUUUAUCCCCCUAAUAGCCUGUUCGCUUGGCUAAUGGUUAUGGUUACAAAUAUUAUUCGUUAAUCUGUUGUAAAAAGAUACUAUUAAAUAACUAACAGAUUCAACGGUUAAAUUCAAACAAACAAACUAUAAAUCUAUCUCCUAAUAUUUUCCUACUUUACACUGUAUUGCUAUGAGCUUUGUUCAUUGAUCCCACUUGUCUCAUAAGAGAAAAGGAGGAAGAGAGAAAAGGAUGAGGAUCUCCUACGUCUAUGACUUCAUAAGAGAGAUCUCGGAGUCCCUUGUCCAUCGGGGCUUGAAUAGUGGCUUGGUUGGAGAAAUUUUUUAUAUAUUUGAGCUCUUAAAAUAGGAUGAAAGGUUCAGAGCUGCUCUAAGGGCUUAUUUGUUUUAUCCCUAAAAUCAAGGAAUUGAUUUGGAUUGGAGGAGACUAAGAAGGAUUUGACCUAUAGACGAGUGUUGCUGCACUUUUUUAUAUAUUUUUAUUGGCAGACGUACACAUGCAUUACAAUGAAACCCAAUAGUAUAAAAGUUAGACUAUGUCAUCAUUAGAUGCGAGUUUAAUGCAGUUCAUGAGUUAUAACCACGUACGAGAUACGGAGUACAGAGGGCGUGACCCAAUAAUAUUGGAAACAAAUCUUAUAUGUAUCAUCACUAGCAUCUAGUUAUUCUAACUUAUAUAAGUGUGCCAUAAUUCCGGAGCAAAUAAAAAAAACCUCGACAGAAACAAAUAUCCACUCUUUAAGAUGGGGUGGAAAUAAAAAAUGGAAUGUUUUUUUUGGUUAAGAUAGGGAAAGAAACUCCCUAUUAUUAAGGUAACUAGGUAAAGGUGGUCAAAAAAAUAUUUUCCUCUAUUUUCGUUUACUUAUCACCAACCUUUUUCUGUAGCAAAAUUGACUAUCUAUUUUUUUCUACAAAAUCUUAGAUACUUCAAUGUAUAUAACACUAACGAAGUAUGUUUAAUAAAAAGAAUUAUAUAUGUGAAAACUUGAUGUAUCUAAAAAAAUUUUUGUAGAAAAAAAACAUAUGGUCAAAAUUACUAAAGUAAAAGUUCAAUGACAAGUAAAUGAAAAUGGAGGUAGUAAAUUUUUGGAUCCUAAAUAUUAUAUAUAUAUUACUAAGGCCCUGUUUGACUGGAUUGGUAACUUUAUUGUUUAUCACAUUAAAUGUUUGAACACAUGCAUGAAAUAUUAUAUAUAGACUAUUUAUAAAAAUAAAAACACAAUUAGAGAAUAGUUUGUGAGAUAAAUUUUUUAAACCUAAUUAGUUUAUAAUUUGAUACUAAUUGUUAAAUAAAACAAAAAAACUUCUAUCCAUAUUAAACUUUAACACCCAAACUAAAAACCCACUAAGUUAACGAGGGGUAUUUUUGUGAGGAUCUUUUCUUUGGCUCGUGGUGAACGGUGUUUUUGUUGUCUUUAACGAGAAAAGGCGUGGUAACGUGCGGCGCGUUUGCGACGUCGCGGGCCGUUGCGACCAUCCGUUGGUAGAUGGUCGGCGCCGAGGAUUUUAACGAAGAGCAUCAAUUCCGAGGGAAGGUGAGUCGGCAGAAGGUGCUAGAAGCUUCAGGUCGUGGUCCUCACGUGAUCAAGCGGCAUCAGUGCUUAUAUCUGAUUUUUCUUGAACAUAUAAGGUUUUGUUUAGUUCCCACCGAGUCCCGUUGAUAAGCAUUAAAUAUAAAAAAAAAUAAUUAAUUAUACAUUUUGCAUGUAAACUAUUAGACGAAUCUUUUAGACCUAAUAGUUAAUAAUUAGCUAUAAUUGUUCAUAAUUGUUACAAUAUCAUACAUGUGUUAAUGACAGAUUAUUUAUGCUUAAUAAAUUUAUCUCACGGAUAUUUUAUGAAAUAUCUGAUGUGCCUUAAAAAACUUUUCACUUAUAAACUAAGCCCUUGUUCAGUUUCUAAAAAAAUUUGGUUUGUAACACUUUCCUUUUUAUUUGGUAAAUAUUGUCCAAUUAUGGACUAACUAAGCUCAAAAGAUUCAUCUCGUAAUUUACAAUAAACUGUACAAUUAGUUAUUAUUUUUAUCUAUAUUUAGUGCUCUAUACAUGUACUGAAAGAUUCGAUGUGACGGGGAAUCUUAAAAAUUUUUAGAAACUAAACAAGGCCUAAACAAGUUUAGUUCACCCCAAAAACCAAAAACUUUUCAAGAUUUCUCGUCACAUCGAAUCUUAUGGUAUAUGCAUAGAGUAUUAAAAAUAGAUGAAAAUAAAAAUUAAUUACACAGUUUGCCUAUAAAUUACGAGACGAAUCUUUUAAACCUAGUUACUUCAUGAUUGGACAAUGUUUGUCAAAUAAAAAUAAAAAUGCUACAGUUCAAAAUCCAAAAACUUUUUAAAUCUAAACAAGACCUAAAGGAGGAGCUGAUAUUUUUUGUUCUGUUGAUGAAGGGGUUAUCUUUUCCUAUGGUCAAGAAAGAUAGAGAUGCAGGCUUCUCGAGCAAGGUUUGUGAAGAUACACUAUGGCCUUGUUUACUUCACAACAAAAACCAAAAAGUUUUCAAGAUUCUCUGUCACGUCGAAUCUUUCGGCACAUACAUGAAGCAUUAAAUAUAGACGAAAAUAAAAACUAAUUACACAGUUCAACUGUAAAUCGCGAGGCGAAUCUUUUGAUUCUAGUUAGUCCAUAAUUAGACAAUAUUUGACACAAACAAACGAAAGCGCUACAGUAGCGAAAUUUAAAAUCUUUUAGCAUCUAAACAAGGCCUAUGCAUAUCAUGAAUAUGAAUAUGCCAUUUGUAUUUACAAGGUGUCAGCUUGCAUUAUAUUCUUUCAGGCCCGCGCGACGAAUCCAAGACGUGUUCAGUCAGCCAUACCAUACGUCAUCAACAGACAGCCUAAAAGAACGACAAGUUGGUCAGACAUUUUCAGCUGUGUUGCCACGGGUAGCCGAGUGGUGCCAGUUACGGAUCAUCGCGUUCAUGACUUCUCAUCUCACCCUCGUCAACCAGGACCACUACUUCAUCUCAGUGCCGACGUUUGCUCCCGCUGGUACCAGUGCCACUGCUAGCUCUGCCUCUGCAUCAACGUGGGCCUUAUUUAAUUCACCCGAAAUCCAAAAAGUUUUCAAGAUUCUCCGUCACAUCGAAUCUUACGGCACAUGCAUGAAGCAUUAAAUAUAGACGAAAACAAAAACUAAUUACAUAGUUUGUCUGUAAAUCGCGAGACGAAUUUUUUAAUCUUAGUUAAUUCAUGAUUGGACAAUAUUUGUCAAAUAAAAACGAAAGUGCCACGGUAGCGAAAUCCUAAUUUUUUUUGAAACUAAUAACAAGGCCGUGGCAUCAAAGGCACGUGAAAAUGGGUUCCAAUAUCCAACCCUACUCCUACCUCAUAAUUCUGGAUGGCGACAUGCCCUUCCCUGCAGGAAGUUUCUGUGCUCCUACAUCAAGACAGCCAGACAGGAGAAAGAGGAGAGUAUCACCCAUUAAGAUUUUUCCGUUCAAUGAUCGCCCAAUAAAUUGAUGCAACAGAAUCAAGUGGUGAAGAACCAAACCAGCAGCUACAGAAGAUCAAUCAUGAAUGAUGCUAGUUGAUCGUCAGGAAUGCAGGAACGCGUGGACGAAUGCUUAAGAAAUCAGAGAUGAUGAUUGUGAUACUACUGUCGUGGGUUCUGACUUCCUUUAUGUUCCCUAGCAUUUGCAUGCGCUCCUUUGUGUUUUGUCAUGACUCACAAGGACUCUGCAAAAUGCAUUUCCCUGAUUAUUCGAAGGCAAUAUUUAAAUUAGCAGUUAAAAGAAAUGGCAGCCACGCCAAACAAUGUAUCACGAGGACAAAAGUAUAGGGCAAACUGGACGCGGCCAUAACAAACAAUGCAUCACAUGAGAAAAGUAACAGGGUUAAUUGGAUUUGCAACUGAACCUGGAGAAGUGUUUGCUCCAUCACACCACCAUGUCUAAUCUGCCAAUAAAUAAUAGUGUAAAUAGCAUAAAAAAUACUGAAACAGAUAAUGAAGCUACGAGGAUUACAGAUAGAAUAUAAAAAAUUAGACCCACGGGCAGAACGAGUUACCUUAUCAUAAGCAGUCGGGUACAAUUUCAGAUGUGUCAUUCUUUUGCAACUGACAACUGUCAACUGUAGCAAGAUAACACUAGCACCAUAAUCAUGGCAAAAAAUGUAGCGAUCAGUACUUCUUACAGCAAACUGCAAUAGUGACACUGACACUAUUAUCAUGGCCAAAUAAUAUCGACCAGUCGUGCUUCUUCAGCCAGAAUCAUUGCGAAAUCUACAAGCGAUGCAUCUGCUAUAUAUGCCAGCCUGGCGCACAGGUCUAUUAUGUGCAGAGUCACAACUUUAACCGAGUGAUUUCCACAUCUAUUUAAAUUAGCAUCUUGUGUGUUCUCCAAAAGCAGCACGGUCACCUGUUUUAUGGCCUUAUAACUUCUAUGAUGUAAUCAUUCACAUAUAUUGCUUCCGAGACAAUCUUACUUCAUGCCAUUCAAAUAAUCCAUAUGCCCAAAUCUUCCAAGCAUUUACCUAAGAUUAGUGCUAACAAACAAAUAGUUUCAUUCAUCAGCAAAUUUGUACUUCUGUCUACGAGACCACUAUCUGUUUUUGCAAAAGAAUGUAAUUAUGAGUAAGGAAGGAGCAUAACUGAAAUUGAUGUCACCCACAAUAAUCAACUGCACUCCAACCUGCACCUUUUUGAACUCCAUGAUUCUUCAUCGCUUCCCUAAGUUUCUCUAUCUCAUCCCAUUUUUUAGCACUGCCAUAAGAAUUAGAUAUUAAAAUGUAAUAUCCCUCAUUUUCUGCGUCAGAAGCAAAUGCCUUUUUUGCAAUCCUUAAACCCAUCUCAAAGUCAUCAUGCAAUUUGCAGGCACUAAGCAAAGUUCCCCAUAUCCCGCCAUCAGGUUCUACUGGCAUGGCUAAAACCAUAUCUUCUGCUUCUUGGAGAUGCCCAGAUUUCCCUAGAAGAUCCACCAUGCAGGCGUAAUGCUUCAGGUUAGGCUCAAGUGAGUAUUUUCCCAUUCUUGUGAACAGCUGCCUGCCCUCCUCAAGAAGCCCUGAAUGGCAGCAAGCAGAUAGAAUAGCAAGAAAGGUGACACCAUUAGGCUUAAUACUUCCUCCUUCCAUCUUACCAAAUAAUUCUAAUGCUUGUUUUGCUUCUCCAUGCAUCCCGUACCCUGAUAUCAUAACAUUCCAUGCAACAACAUCAUGUUGAAGCAUAGAAUCAAAAAUCCUUCUUGCAGUUCCAAGCUGCCCACAUUUAGCAUACAUGUCAAUAAGUGCUGUGUUGAUAGAUACAUCAUAGUCCCACCCCAUUUCUUUAACGUAAGAAUGUAUCUUCUCUCCACGUUCCAACGCAACCAAGUUUGCACAAGCUGAAAUGACAGUGAUCAAGGUUGUUGAGUUGGGUGUCAAGCCUUCAGUGAGCAUUUGAUCAUACAGCGACACCGCAGUAUUUGAAUGUCCCAGAUGAGCAUAGCUAGAUAUCAGUGUAUUCCAUGUGACAACAUCCCCCUUCAGUUUGGCCAGGCCAAAUAUUUUGCAUGCAUGAUCAAACUUUCCGCACCUCCCAUACAUGCCUAUUAAAACAUUUGCAACUGAUGAAUCCUCAUCAAGCCAGUGCUUGAUUGAAUAACAGUGUGCUGAUCGACCUAGUCUUAGUUCCACUAGCCGUGAGCAAGAAGAGAUUGCAGAAACCAAGCUGUUGGCAUCACACAGGAAUUCAUAUGUAUCUCUGAACUGCAUCUCACGAUACAGCUCCAAGCAUUUGACAUCACAUCCAGCUUUGCAAUAUCCUACAAUCAUCAAGUUCCAUGAAUCCGCAUCUCGUUGAUGUAACAAUCUAAAAACUCUGCCUGCAUUGUCCACCAAUUCAAAUUUUCCAUACAUUGAUAUCAAAGCAUUUCCAACCAAAACAUUAUCUCCAAAGUUUCUCUUCAUUAUAACCGCAUGAAAUGCCUUCCCUCCGUGUACAUUACCACUGUUACCCAACCCAGAGAGCAGACAACUAACCAGAACAUCAUCUGGCUGCAGACCUGACUCCAUCAUCUCCUGGAACAACUCCAUAGCCUCCCUGAUAAGCCCUCUCCAGCAGUAUAUUCCAAUCAAACUUGUCCAGGAAACCACGUCUUUCUCUGGCAACUCUGGGAAUAAAGAGCAUGCAUCCUCAGUGCUGUGACACUUCGAGUACAUAGAGAAGAGGGCAGAAAUUACCAUGGGGGAAUCGCCAACCCCAACCUUCACUGCAUACCCAUGCAAGCAUCUACCAGAAUUCAGCUCAUCUAGCACCCCGCACGCCUCCAAGCCACUCUCCAUCGUCCGUGAGUUCGGUCUCGCCUUGCCAUCACCCGCAAGCCUGACCAUCUCUACCAGAUAGCGCAAACCAUCUCCACACUCCCCGUUUCGCACGCACCCGGAUACCACCGCGGUCCACGCAACCACAUCCCUCUCGCGCAUUUCCUCGAACAGCUUCACGGCGUCUCUGACGACACCGCACCUAGCGUACAUGUACACCAGAGACGAUGGGACUGCGACGGAGCCGCCAUCGACGGCGAGGAGGCCGUAUCUGACGCAGUACGCGUGCACGGAGGCGCCGACGCCGAGCGCGCCGAGCUCGGCGGCAGCGGAGGCGGCGAGCGGCACGGUGAAGGGGGAAGGCCGCGCGGAAGAGGCGAGCAUGCGGCGGUGGGCGUUGAGCGCGGCCACGAAGUCUGAGGCGCAGUGGUGGGUGCGGAUGAGGGAGUUCCAGAGGAAUGCGUCGGGGCGGGGGCAAGCCGAGAAGGCGAGCGCCGCGAGCCCGGGGCGCCCCGCGGAGGAGUAGGCGGAGACGAGCUUUGCGACGAUGUCGGGGCGUUGGGAGAGGCCCGAGGUGACGGCGAGCGCGUGGACGCGAAGUAGCUCGGGCACCGGCGAGGGAGACGGCGACGAGAGGAAGCGGGAGAGGACGGCAAUAGGGGUCGCGGCUUGGGGCGGCGUCAUUUGAUCGCGCGUUCGAAUAGUUCACCCGUCACCCGUAGCCAGAAUUCAGAAACGGAUGCUCUAAGAUAAGAAUUCGGAAACAAGUCACGUACUCAGACAGUCACAAUGACAUACCCAUAGGUGGGCUUCGAUUCAAAAGAAUGUAUUUUUGAAUGCAUAAUCUGAUCCUAGUUGACUAUAGAAAAACUUCCAAUUUUUUUUUUAAAAAAAAGGAGAGGAAAAACUCCGAAGCGUACUAAGUUUUUUUUUGUUAAAUAGUUAAAAAUGAAUCCUUGUGAUGCUGCUGUUUCUUUUAGCUGAUGCUGAUUUGUUGUGACUUGUGAGGGAAAAAACACUGUUCUGAAGAAUAGGCCUGAUUUUUUGGCUAAUAAGCUCAAGCACAGAGUGUAUACGAAUUGUAAAAUAAUAUUAGCAAGUCUUAAGAUUAUCCAAUUAUCUUUAUUAACUUCGAAUGAUAAGAAUGCAGACUAACAACCCAUGAUACUAGUAUAGUACUCUUCAGUCCUGAAUCCUAUAGUAGUAGUGCAAGUAGAAGCAACUUUCUCAUCAGAGAGCUUUUAUUUACGAGCACUGUACUAUACAUAAGCUCCUGUCCAUGAACAGGACUGAUGCUGUCUUCAGUUAAUGAUGAUGCGCUCCAUUCUCCUGGAAUGAAUGCCCCUUCACAGCUUGGAUGGAGGCUGGUACCAUCCCCACGGUUCAUCCGAGCAAUACUUGGUGACUUGCUUCACGGUCAUGUAGUUAUCAAGGCCCCUGAAAGCAAUAGUGAAGGCAAUUCAGGUGAUGCAACUUACAAAACCUUUGCUUAGGGAGUAUAAUAGCUACAAUUUGCGCAAUUUUUUACACUGCAGUCAACACUCACCAUUCUCCGAGCUCCCGACCAAAACCGCUCCGCUUGUUCCCUCCCCAUGGAGCUUGGACGAAGCAUGGUUGCGAGCAGUUUAUCCAAAUAAUGCCAGAUUGAAGAGCCUGCAGACGACAAAUUUAAAAUGUGUUAUGGUAUCUAAUACUUCCAUCAAAUUAUAGUUUUAACAGCUUUGCAAGUAAACAGGAGGUCAAAUCAAUGUCCAGGUCAUACUUCCACUUUCAGUUACCUUUGAAAUGCGCUCGCACCUCUCUUGAUCAUCGGAGAUCACGGCACCAGCUAAACCAUACCUGAAAAGAGUUUGUGCAGGUAGUGAAUGAACAAUAUAAGCAUCAAAGGUUUCUUUUCUAAUUUCUAGUGCUAUAAAAUCAAGCAAAAAUGACUCACUGAGUAUCAUUUGCAAGUUCCACAGCUUCACUCUCUCUCCUGAAUUCUUUAACGCAGAUGACAGGUCCAAAGACUUCCUCUCGCCAAAUUUGCAUUGACGUACUAAUAUCUGUUAUAAUUGUAGGUUCAAGAAAGAACCCUCUUUUGAGAUGCUGCCAAUUCAUCAAUGUAGCUUGGAUCAAUGGCUGAGAAACCAAAAUGAGGCAAUGAAAUUAAGGAUGCUUACCUGUGGUCGGGCACCUCCAUACAGAAUUGUGGCACCUUCACUUCUUGCAGUUGAGAUGAACUUCUUUAUCUUUUCGUACUGAAUAAAACAAGGAUUUAAAAUGUUCAGAGUUGUGGAUGACACAUGCAAUUGGGUUAUGUCCAUAAUGUUCUAUGUUGAUUUCAAAAAUAUAAAUGAAUAAAAUUACUUUUUUUGAAAGGGUGAUGUGCAAAGAAUCAUUUGCUAACUCUUUCCUGGCUAUCCAUUUAAUUUGGACAUAAUAUCCUCAUUGAAGUAUUUACAUAAUAAAAAAAAGGUACAUCUCUGCAACAGAACUUCAACAAGUUUGAUAUGCCUCGUUUUUACAUCACCUGUCCUUCACUGACAACUGAACCCAGUCUGCAGCCUUCCUCCAGUGGAUCUGAGACUUUUAUAUUCUUUGCCCAUGCAACCAAUCUAUCCAAGAAUUUCUUUGCAAUUUUCUCCUGUAUUAGAAAUAACUUGGUGUGAUUUCAUGUAUCAGAAGAUGACUUGAUCUGCCCAAAACAGCUAGAAGAAAUACAUACAUGCAGCAGUAGACGAGAAGUAGCACUGCAGACUUGACCAGCAUUUGCGAAGAUCCCAAACAUGGUCCAUUCAACAGCUAUUUUCAAUCCAGUUAUAACUUAGUACAGCUAACAAACUUGUGAUAAUAUAUGUAAAAUUGACUUUUGCACUUCCAUAAUGCUAUAAACCUUAUGAAUUGAGCUGAAAAUAGAUUGAUUUUUGAAACAUUAGAUAAAAUAAAAAUAGGGGCAUAGUGCAACAUGAGGAAGAGACCUUUGUCAAUGUCACGAAUGUCAUCAAAGACAAUAAGAGGACUUUUGCCACCAAGCUCUAAUGAAACAGGCUGUUGAAGAUUACAAUAAACAAUGAAUAAGGAUUCUGUUAUACAGGUACAUAAUUUGAAGAUUUCUUGCAUCAAUGGAUCCACAAUGAUCAAGUUGAUGGAAAGUUAAUUUAGGAACUGGAAAUUUGCUGAGAAAGGAUGGCAGCUAAAUAUAGAGAAAAAAAAGAGAACAAACCUUAACCAUUUGGGCAGCUGAAGUCAUUAUCCUCUUACCAGUUUCUGUACUUCCAGUAAAAGCAAUCUACAACAUGGAUGCGUAAUUUUGAUAAGUUUAUGAUUUGACAGUAAUUAUUUCAAUCAAGUGAUGCUUAACAGCAUAUGUACUCAUUGAAAAAGAGGUAUGAUUGUCUUGACCUUAUCCACAUGGGGAUGUGAGGAUAAUGGAGCACCAGCUUCAGGGCCCAGACCAGUAAUUACAUUGAAGACACCUGGUGGUAGGCCUAUUUCCAUACAUAUUGCACCAAGCUCUAAGCAACUCCUGAAUUUUAAAAGAUUUUAUUCCCAGCUCCGAGGAUAAAACAACUGCUCAAGUAACUUGAAAAGCAUCAAAGCCUUACACAGAAGCCAAUUCUGAAGGCUUUAAUACAGCUGUACACCCAGCAGCCAAGGCAGGUGCGACCUUCCAAGUUGCCAUCAACAGAGGAUAGUUCCUUCAUUUACACGAGAAAGAUAAGGGUUAGAAUGAUCAUCUGAUAAACUCAUUGUUCAUGUGCAAAGCACAAACAUAAACGAUAGUAGUUCUAGCCUUUUAGGAUGCAUGUGAAGGUGCACGUGUGAGUGAUGGGGUUAACAUAUUCCUAACCUGUAGAGGGCUCAACAAUUGAUAAAUGAGCAUAAUAAUGACUAAAAGGCUGGUAUAUGGCCCAAGGGGCUUCGAGAAGAAAAGGCACAUUUCUAGCUGAUCAUGUUGUGCUUUUCUUGGAUAUAAGAGAGGUCAAAAGAACCAAUUUCAGUUACCAUGGAAGCAGCUACUAGCUUCAAAUAUGUUAAACUAUGAAAUACAAAAGCGAACAAAUUUAAAAUGCACUGGAAUACAUAUUAACAGGUUUUGCUCUGAUAGGACUCAGAAUGUUCGCUUGUUUGACAUGGAUAAAUGAAAGCAUGUGGUAAAGAUAGAAAAUAAAUAAUCACUCUGGUUUAACCACAUAACAACUGACCUUAAGAAGAAAAUGAGCCAUGGAAUGUAGAAAUAGAAUCAGCAUAUGCUCAUGAACUGAAAAACUAGAAGCAUACAAUGAAAUGUUGGAAAACUUGUUGAAUUAAGGUGCUUGAAUGAAAGCAGAUGUCAUACCAAGGAGUGAUCAGUCCAACAACCCCAAUGGGUUCUUUAAGUACAUAUGACUUGAAGUUUUCCAUAGGCAGAGAGAUUGGUGAACGUUGCUUCCCAUCUAAAGCUUCCGCCAGAUCAGCAUAGUACUCAAAGCAUGCAGCGACAUCAUCCUAAUAUAAAAUGUUAAAACAUUGAUUAAAACAUGGAUCAUCUUCUUUCUCCAGACACAACAAACAUCAUAGUGCAAAAUGCAAACUGAAGCUACCAUGUCUGCACUUGCUUCAUCCAGAGGUUUCCCAGAAUCAAGUGUCUCCAGCAAAGCCAGCUCAGAUUUCCUAUCUUUAAUCUGCACCCAGCAACAAACAUUUCAAGAAAAUUACUGCCAGAUAAAACAACCGUGGCAGUUAACAGAAAGAAAACAAUCAGACGUUUUCCUCAUGAUAACAGAUGUCCAUUUUUGCCAACUUUUUCUGCUGAGUUACACUGGUUAGACCGUUGAAGUCCGGGGGGGUCAAAUGGUCAAUGAAAACCCUGUCACUGGUCCAGGUUCAAAGGCUGGCACAAACUUCUUAAGGACAAAAUCAGGAUGACGUCCCUCCCCCUGGUCGAGUCUUUUAACAGAUGCCCAUUUAAAAUGCAGUAAACAGCAUUAACUAGUAAGCUUUCGACAUGCGUCCAUAAUUUCGACUACAAAAGACAAUCUACAGACAAUUUCAGUGUCAUAGCAUGGCACAUAGCAGGAAAAAUAUUGUCCAUAGGAGCCUGCAUUGUUGCAAUCCUGCUAGGCAGCUAAGGCUUCUACUCUACAAUAUGAGAUUAAUAGACCAAGAUUAAGGUAUCUACUUUAGUAGGCCAAAGAUUAAGGUAUCUGAUAUAAAGCUACAACCACACCCCUUGUAGAUGUUCAUACACAACAAAUCAACCUAACCAGUAACCAAGAGGUGUAAAAAGAAAUCAGAUACUGGCCAAAUAAAAGAGGAGACAUUUGACAAUCGCUCAACAGUCAUGCAUCUCACGUUUUUGUUUUUCCCAAUAGCGAUCUCUAUGGACUCCAAAAAACACUAGACAAGAGCAACCUUCCUAGUCGCCCCCAAAACUAACUAUGUUCACACACCAGCUAGAUGUUCACGGGAUAUGGUUGUGAGUUGUGAUAGGACAAGGUUGGCACCUUGGCGGCGAUCGCUCUGAGAAAGUUGGCUCGCAUGGCCCCAGAGGCACGCGACCAGUGCCUCCCGCCGUCGCGGGAGAACGCGUCCCGCGCCGCGGCGACCGCGAUCUCCACGUCCUCCGCCGUGCCCGCCGGGAUGUCGCCUUCGCGGAUACCGAUCAGUGAUUACCACCACAACAAAAAGGUCGAGUUCAGUACGGUGCUUGGCUGCUUGCUAGGCUGCUGCAGGUACGACGUCAAAGCGAUCGGAGAGAGGGGGGGGGGGGGGCGCGGGCAAGCACGAACCGAUGGUGGCCUCCGUGGCCGGGUUGACGACGGGGAGGCGGCGCCCGAGGCACGGCUCCCUCCAGGCCCCGCCAAUGAAGAGGCCGCGCCGGGGGACCGUCUGCGGCGGCGCCAUGGCGAUGCGGUGGACUGGAGACGAGAGGACAGAGGAGUGACCUGCUGCCGCCGCCGCCGCCGCCUUUCAGGUUGGCCUGCGCGUGCCCUCCGGUGACUGUUUGGUGGCCGACCUGUAGCAGGCUAGCAGCUCCGCUGUGCUACUUUUUGAUCUGGACUCCGGUCGCCGUGCUUUGCAAUCGAUCGAUUAUUUUAAAAGGGGCAACGGAUCUAGUGCAAACUCAUUUCCCGUGCAAACUGUGCAAACUCUAAUCUGGAUCGCAGGAUGUUGAUCAAGGGGGCACAUGAGAGAGGUGGAAGGAGAGGUUUGUAAAAGUGUGAUUAAGAGCGGACGGUUAAGUGCAAAAUUACCCAAUCUAUCUGUGCCCCUUGGAUCAACAUCCUGUGGUCCAGAUUAGAGUUUGCACAGUUUGCACGAAAGAUAAGUUUGCACUAGAUCCGUUGCCAUUUUAAAAUGGAGUAUAUUGGCGAAGGAUAUGUUGGGCGAAGAGGUGACCCACCUGCCAUGUGAUGAAGGAUAUCUAUCUUGGCGCACGCGCACGUUGUCGCGUACGGGCACGCAUGCCUCGCCAGUCCACCACCCGUGCACGGUGGCACGGCUUCGGUGGGCGUGUGAGUGGUGCGGAGCCCACCAUGCACCAGCGUCGCCAUCCCUCCGCGACUUUUUGUGAUUUGUCUACAGCUCAGCACCGUCUCCGGUGACAGUAAAGCAGCACAGUGGGCGGAAAGGCUAAUCUCUCUGGGGAAUUUGAUGUUGCCAGUUUAUAGAAACAAUCGUGUGGUAGUAGUAGAUCGCUUUCUGCUUGGCUUGCUACUGUUUAGCGGCAAUGUUUUUUUUCUCGAAUACGCAAAAGGUUUGCGCAUCGUUGCAUUAAGUAGAAGGAAUGUUUACAGGUGCGCUUUAGCGCUGAGUACAGACGGCGAGGAGUGGGGGGUGUUUUAAUAGCAAUAAACAUUACAACUGACACCUUCUCCCCCCCCCCCCUCCUCUCAAAAGGAAAGCGGACUACUCACGAAUCAAACAACCAAGGUGCCGGGCUCCUCCUUCGAUCCAAAGGUCGGCGUUGGCCCUGAUGGUGCUCAGUAGCUGUGUAAUGUCGGAGGAUGCGUUACGAAAGCAUCGAGCGUUACGCUCCUUCCAGAUCUCCCAGGCUACUAAUGCGAAUAGGGUGUCGGCUCCUUUUUGACGUUCACCGUGCCAGCGCAACCUCCAGUGGUCCCACCAUGCCAUUAGGGUCUCAUCACCAACCAGGGAUGCGUCGACUCCAAGAACUGAUAGUAUGGUCCACCAGACCUGCCGUGAGAACGAGCAAGAAGCCACGAUAUGAUCGAUAGUCUCUGGGUCUUGAUCGCAGAGGUAGCAACUGUCGACGGCUUGCAGGCCGUGGCGUCGCCUCCUGUCCGCAGUCCAAUGCCGACCUCUGAUGGCGAGCCAAAGGAAGAUCUUAACUCGUAGUGGCGCCUAAAUUUUCCAUAUCCUCGAGCAGCCGCGCACCGGGAGGGAGGCCGCAAGGAGAGCACGGUAGGCUGACUUAGCUGAAUAUUGGCUGUCUGGUGUCCAUCUCCAGACGAGAGAGUCCUCCCCGACACUCAACUGGCACUGUGAGACCGCAUCCCACAACUUCAAGUAAUCCGGGAAGGCCGCGGAGGUGAUCCCUCCCGAAAUCUGGCGAACCCACGCACGCGCUGUGAGUCCUUCGGCGACCGUUGUAGACUUGAUAUCCGCUGACUGACGAAGGCCAAGAGAGCGGGGGCGAUGUCCUUGACUGACUGUGUCUGGAUCCACUUCCCCGUCCAGAAAUGUGUUGAGCGCCCAUUAACGAGCACAGUGUACGUCGAGGCAUUGAAGAAUGCUCGAACUUCUUUGGAGGAUGCAAUGGGUAGACUGGACCACGCCCUGUCUUGAUCCACCUUCUGUAGCCAAAGCCAUCUGGUUUGCAGGGCGAUGGAUGUGAGUCGCAGAUCAGGGAUGCCCAGACCCCCCAGUUCCGUUGGUCGACAAACAAUGGGCCACGCGACCAUGCAUUUCCCCCUAACUGAGCCUUCUUUCCCCGUCCACAGGAACCUGCGGCAAAUGUUGUUGAUUUCGUCUAAUGCCUAGGGUGGGAGGCCGUCCGCAAUGAUGGUGUAAAUGGGAAUGGCGGAGAGGACGGACUUGAUCCAGAUGAGCCUGCCGCUCCUCGCCAUGAGCGGCCCAUGGCAGCUCGGAAGCCUUCUUUCGAUGACGUCUAUGGUGGACUGAAUCCGCGCUUUUGGGAUUUUUUUGGUACUCAGCGGCAAACCAAGGUACGUGAUGGGGAAGUCGGCUCGGCAGCAGCCCAGCACCUCCUGCAGCUGCGGCAGGAUGUCCUGUGGCAUGUGGAUCGCCGUGAUGGAGCAUUUGGCAAGGUUGGUGUGCAGUCCGGAUGCUUCCCCAAAAAUUCUUAGUAUUUCCUUGACCGCCCUCGCCUCCGUCACAUCCGGGUACAUGAACAUGAUGACGUCGUCGGCGUACAGGCUGCAGUGGUGCCUGAUCACCGGCACUCUGAUAGGCCUCAGCAAAUUCUCCGCUGCGGCCGUCGCGACCAGCCUGGCGAACACUUCCAUGGCGAUUAUGAAAAGCAUCGGCGAAAGCGAAUCACCUUGGCGGACUCCUCUCCUGUGGCUGAUGGCGUUACCCGGUCGACCAUUAAGGAUUAUGCGCGAAGUGGCCGUGGAUAGUAUUGUGGCUACCCACCGGCGCCAACGUUCGCCGAAGCCGAACGUCUGCAAGGUGUUCAGCAGGAAGGGCCAGGCAACGGUGUCGAAUGCUUUGGAAAUAUCGAGCUUCAGCAGUGCCAUGGGGGUCUUUUUUUUCCUGAGGUAUACAGCAGCACGCUGGACGAACUUGAAGUUAUCGUGAAUUGUCCUUCCACGAAUGAAGGCGUUCUGGUUCGAUGAGAUCAUGCUUUGUAGCAACGGCGCUAGCCGCGACGCAAGGAGCUUGGACACCAGCUUCCCGAAGCUGUGAAUCAUCGAAAUUGGCCGGUAGUCUCCAGGAGAAGCGGCGUCUGGCUUUUUGGGCAGUAGGAUGACCAAGGCGUUGUUCAGCCGUUUGAAGGCGCAGCUGUCUCCGAAAAGGAACGCGUUAACGGCAGCCAGGACAUCCAAUUUGAUAUGCGGCCACGAUGAUUUGUAGAACAGUCCUGUAAAACCGUCCGGCCCUGGGGCCCUAUCAGAAGGCAUCUCACGCACGGCCACCUCAACCUCCUCCUCGGAGAAUGGCAUAUCCAGUGCGGACAGGUCGGUGGGUGAGAUCCCAAUCGCUUGGAAGUCGAUGGUGAAAGAAGCAGGACCGGCUUGACCAAACACGCCUCGGAAGUGGUCGAAGAUGGCCACCUCCAUUUCUUCAUGUGAGGUGCAGACUGCGCCAGUGUGAUCUCUAAGGCGGGUGAUCCCGUUCCUGCGUUUCCUGCCCCUGGCCAGCAAGUGGAAGUAUUUUGUGUUGGCGUCCCCAUCAGCGAGGAAACGAACUCUUGCCCUCUGGCGCGCCAUGGUCCGUUCCAGGGACGCGAGGCCUAGGACCUUGAGCUUCAGGUCCUUCCGCAGCUGGUGCUCACUGUCUGAAAGCGCCCGGCGCUCUGCGGACUGGUCCAAGCGUAGGAUGAUGGAGCGUGCCAUCAGCAGCUGCUCCCUUAUAUUUCCGAUCCUGGACGCCGCCCACCGCUGUAGCUCAAUUUUUAGAUUCCUGAGCAGCUCAUCAAGACGGCGCAGUGGAUCAGAGGUUGUCGGCGCACAUGUCCAGCCUCUGACUACGGCUUCCUGGUAUCCCGGCAUUUUAGGCCAGAAUGAUUCGAAGUGGAAGCGCCUCAUGUGUUGGAUGGACAGCUGCGUCUGCAAGAGGAGUGGACAAUGGUCGGAGGCGUCCGACGAGAGAGCCUGCAGGUGGCAAUCCGGGUGCAUUGCCUCCCAAUCCAAGGAGACGAGCGCACGGUCCAGCCUCACCAUGGUGGGCGAUCGACGUUCGUUACUCCAAGUGUAUCGCCUUCCGUGCAAGUGGAUGUCCACCAGCUCCAGCUCAGCUACUGUCUGUCGGAACCGAUUCAGGUUACGCCUGUUGAUUGCGCCGUUGCUCUUGUCUGCUUCAUCCAGGAUCAGGUUGAAAUCACCAACGACCGCCCACGGUCCGACGCACGCAUCUCUGACGGCUGCCAGCUCUUCUAGGAAUAGCAACUUUUCCCCAUCAUCUUGUGGCCCGUAUACAGCCGUGAGCCACCAUGGUGGACACACCGUGUCUAUUCCCGUGUGCACCUUGACUGUGAUGGAGAAGCAGCCGACAUGGACGUCAUCCAGGCGAAUGUCCGGCUGCUGACCCGCCACCAAGAUACCACCACAAGUUCCCGCGGCCGGCACGAACGCGUAAUCAACAAAAUUCAUUCCAAGAAGAGAGGAUACAAGCAUUUGGGAUACAGACGAUAAUUUAGUUUCCACAAUACAGACCACAUGCGGCCUCUCAGACUGGACGAGGGUGCGGACAGAGUCCCGCCGCGCGCGCCCAUUUAAUCCGCGCGCAUUCCAGCAUAGUAUCGUAGUAUUAUUCAUCGUAUUACAACUAGUCUGUGUCGCUCAAACGCGCACGGCGCGGCGACCCGAGGAGCGCAGCGGGCGAGCCUCCCCAGGGAAAAGCUCCCGCAUUGCCUCGACAUGAGACUCCCUGUCGCUUCCCUCGAACAAAGCUUCAAAGUCGUGCUUACUGCUUUCACCGUUCUGGGCAGGAGCAAGACCCAGCCUCUGCAUGAUGAGAAUCUCUCCACGCUUGGCCACCGGAACCUUGGACAGCGGCUGCGCAGCGAUUCUUCUGCUACGCAGCGGCAUCUUUGCAGACGAGUCGAACACCUUUGUCGGCAGCAGGGGCGAGGUUGCCUUCUUGAGAACCUUGGACGCGAACCUCCUCAGGCGGCCGCUGAUUGAACUUGAGGCCGAAGCCGAGGUGCUGUCUUCCUGCGUUGCAAUUGGUGUUCGGGCGCCCUCCUCUGGAUCCCUGACGGCACUUUGCGGAGAGGCGAGGGCACCGCGGACUGCGCUCUGCGGCGUGGCGAGGGCCUCACGGCCACUGUAUGCCGGCGUCCAGUCCUGGACUGGGCAGCAUACAGCAGCAAGGCUUGGAACGUUUGGCGCCGAGUCCGCGUCCUGGCUGGCGCCCUUCUGCUGCGCUUCCUGGGCAGCGCACGGCGAGGCAGCGGCCGGUGCGCCAGCGGCCUCGGCUGGCUCGGGUGUUGCCCAAGCCAAGUCCUGAGCUGGCAGCCGUUUGGUUACUGCUCCAGCAGUCUUCGGGUAGGUAGCAGGCGGCGAUCCUGCCCACAUGGUGCUGGCCGGUGUCGCGGCCGGCGUUCGUAGAGCUCCAUCAGCGGGUGCGGCGUCCGCCGGCACGUCGAGGCCGUUUGACACGGCUUUGGUGUCGGACGACACGGAGGCAGAGCUCCUGGUCCCCUGCAGAUCGCUUGCAGGGCCUGAAGCUGGAGAUAUUUCAAUAGGCCUGCUGCCACCGCAUGCAGCCUGCUUGGCGCACCGAGCCGAAUCCACCGGUCUUUCGAGCGCCUGUGCCCAGGCGGCAUCCCAGUAGCAGGCUGGACGAGGGGCCUCUUGGACUGCAGCCGUCGACGCGCUCGCAACGACCGCCGGCCCUGAGUCACCCUCGGCCGCUGCGUCCUGAACGGCAGCCGGAGUCUCCACGCCGCAUGGCGGCACGAGCGCGACAUGCCGAAUUGGCCGCCACACCCAUCUUCCCUGCCUGUGCCCGCCCGGCUUGAGGGGCGACCGUCCGCGCUGAUCGUCGAGGUUGGCGCUCCGCAGCGGACACUGCUGCCUCGACGCGCCGACCACGGCCGGCGCUGGUUGCCUGCGCCGGUGAUUCCUGCUCCGCUCCCGCGCGGACCCGGCAUCCGGAGGCGAGGCCGUGGCAGGUCCCACGAGCCCCCUGGCGCGGCCAGCACCCGCACCUCGCCGGUGCCCUCCAGUCCCGAGGUCGGCGUCCCCGUCUGGGAUGCCGCGGUCGCAGGCGAAGGUGUGGAUCCUCGGUCCACUCCUCCGGCCGAAGCGGUAGUCCUCGUGAUCGCUGACGUCGUCCUCAGAGGAGGGUAGCCCCCUAGGCGGCGGAGACGGUGAAAGCCCUAGUUUGGUUUUGGAUAAUUGAUGAAACCCUAGUACUAACCUUUAUACUAAGUGUGUAUAGACUUAAUGAGGUUGGUACAUGCCAACUGAUGGAGCAAGUGAUGAUCAUGGUGAUGAUGGUGAUGACCACAAGAUGAUCAAGUGCUCAACUUGGAAAAGAAGAAAGAGAAAAACAAAACCCUAUGGAAGAUCAAGGCAAAGGUAUUGCUUAGGGUUUUGGUUUUGGUGAUCAAGACACCAUAGAGGGUGUGAUCACAUUUAGGAUAGAUAGCCGUACUAUAAAGAGGGGAAUUCUUUAGCUAAGCGGUUAUCAAGUGCCACUAGGUGUCAUUGUUCAUGUGCAUGCAUUUAGAACCUAGUGAGCUAACUUAACUCCUUCGAAGAAAAUGAUUCUGAAAAUGCUAACACACGUGCACUUGUUGGUACACACGUUGUGGUGUUGGCACACUUUGAGAAGGAGGUGGAGUUUGAAGAGUAAAGAGAGGAUGGGUCCCUCUCUCCCUCCCGCCGAGCUUGCGAGGCGGGAUUCGGCGCUUUUCGAGAAAAUGAAGUGCAUAUUUUCUAUUGCGCCGGUGGGAAAAUUGGAGAAGUCGCGGGAGUGUUUCUCGCUGAGGAACACUCACCGGACGCUGGCUCAGAGGCACCAGACGCUGUGUCUGAGCGUCCGGUGUGCAGGCUGCCUGGCCCAGCUAGGGUAAGGCACCGGACGAUAGGCACCGGACGCUGGCUUGAGCGUCCGGUGGUGCGCGUCCGGUGUGCGGGCGUUUUGCGACCCUCUCUGCGCAUGGGUCCGGUGUGCACCGGACGCUCAGGGUGCGUCCGGUGACCCUGCGAGUUUGCGGAGCUCUCUGCGCAUGAGUUCGGUGUGCACCGGACGCGUCCGGUGCCAACCUGCUCAGCGUCCGGUGCUCUGCAGGUUACCGUUAGAUUCUGACACGCGGCUGACGUUGGAGCACCGGACGCUGGUGUUGAGCGUCUGGUGCCCCUUUAAGAGCGUCCGGUGACCCCGUGUUUCGCCCAGUGAAAGAGCCAACGGCUCUAUUUGUUUGAGGGGCUAUAAAUACGUGUUUGGCCGGCUUGGGGCUCACUCUCUUGGCAUUCUAGCAUACAUAACAUCCUUGUGAGCCUAAGCAAACACCUCCCACUCAUCUCCUUCAUAGAUUAAACAUCUUUGUGAGAUUGGGAGUGAUUCCAAGUGCAUUUGCUUGAGUGAUUGCAUCUAGUGGCACUUGGGGAUCGUUCUAGCUGCGGUUUUCUUGUUACUCUUGGUGGUUGCCGCCACCUAAACGGCUUGGAGCAGCGGAGGAGGAUUGGCACGAGUUGGUGAUUGUUCGUGGCCAUCUCCCGGUGAUUGUGAGAGGUUUGUGCCUACCUCGGCGGAGAGCCAAAGGCAACAUUAGUGGAUUGCUCGUGUCAUUGAGCUACCUCACUUGUGGGUAGGUUCUUGUGGUGUCCUAGUGAGGACGAGGUUCGUGCUACACCUCUUAGCCACCGAACCACCAAGUGUUGGUCGACACAACGGGGACGUAGCGUGCCGGCAAGCACGUGAACCUCGGGAGAAAAAUCAUGUGUCUCCAUUGUGUUUGUUGAUUGGAUUUCUCCUGGUGAUUGGACUUCAUAAUAUUGUGAUUGGUUCAUCCCCUCUACGUGGUGGUAUAAAGAUCAAACUCUCUCUCUUACUUUCUUGUAAACUAGAGUAGCUUACUUCUUGUAUAGAAACUUUAGGUAGCUCUCUAGUGUAAGUAGAGACUUAGUUCUUAUGUGCAUAGUGAUCAUAGCAACUAGAAUUGUUGGGUAGGUGGCUUGCAAACACCCCAUUAGAGCUAGAGCAAAAAGCUUCGCUUUGUUAUUUACUAACCUCUUGCUCUAGUGUUCUUGUAGAAUUUUUAAAUAGGCUAUUCACCCCCCCCCCCCUCUAGCCAUAUUAGGACCUUUCAGACGGCGAUCGGGGGUCGAAGUCCGCCACAGUCUUGACGUGUAUGAUGACUUUGUAGGCGAGGGUCUUCUUCUCUGUCAGGUAGGGAGGCAACGCCGGCCCACCGGCGAAGAGGUGGCAGGGGGGUUCAUCCUCCGUGAUCCCCAGCCAGCAGAUGAGCGGGAUGUAGGAGUGGUGGGCUGUCCAAGCCGUUACCUUGAAUGCGGAGAGGUCGCCCCCGGAGCUCGUGGCGGCGUCUAUGUCCUGGAUCCAGCACGAAGGGGUGAGGAUCUUGGCUGCUGUGUCCUCGCGCCACGCGUGCGGCGGCACCCUUUCAAGCACGAUGUUGACGCGGAACCGUAGGGUUGCUUGGUCGGCGUGUCGCAGUUUUGUCCAAGGCCUCAGCACAAGCGCCGUGGAGCCGAUGGGCAGCGGCGAGGCGGCAAGGACCCGAUCUUUGACCGUCUGGGAGGCACAGAGGAUGAUGAAAUUCUCGGGGUAGAAGUGGCGCAACAUCACCUCGUCCGGCCGGACCCCAGACGCGGCAGCGAUGGCCUGAUGAGCGUCGGCGAUGGGGAUGUCCGAGGCGCCGCAGCGAGUCUGCGCCACGACUGAGAACCGCAGGCUCGCCUCUGCAUUGUUGAUGGCUGCGUCGCGUGAGAUGUAGCGCCAGCAUUCGCGCGGACGCGAGCUCGGCGCGCCCGGCUUCGCCAAGGCACCGUCUUCGACCUCUGAGGGCGGGCUCGGCGAAGGCGUCCUCCCGCUUGCAUCCUCAGGCGUUCCUGGGGACGGCGGCGGCGGCGUCGGCCCGCUCGCCCCAGGCGGCGUUCCUGGGCUGCGCCCUCCCUGUUGCCUGACGAAGCGCCCGUCGUUCCUCGCCGGCGCCUCCCCGCUGCUCGCUGGCCGAGGUCGCUUGCAGUCUCUGGCGUAGUGGUUGAUGCCGCGGCAGUUGAAGCAUCUCAUGGGCCGCCGGCAGUUGGCGACGCGGUGGGCCGAGGAAAGGCAGUUGAGGCAGCGGUCCUCGACCUCCCUGGGGAGGACACGCUCCUCUCCGCUGCGCCUCUGGGAACCCGGCCGCCUCCCCUGGACUGCAGCGCCGCGCGCCCGCGCCUCCAUCUGGCCGGUGGCGCCACGCGGCCGCACCUCCUGGUCCGGUCUUUGCGGCAGCACAAGCUGCCAGCCGUCUCGGUCCGGGGGGGACGCCCGACGCCGGGGGCCAAGACGCAGGUGGGCGGAGACGCGGUGCGUCUCGGCGUCAGAUCGGGGGACUGCCCCAACCGAAGCCGUCGCGCCCCCGUGGCCUCUCCGCCGUCGCCUUCUGCGCUGCCUGCGGCACCGUGGCUUGAAGGGGUCCUUUCCAGCGCCUGGCUCCCCGCGUCCACCUGCCACUGCCGGUCCAGGCCUCUCAGCCGGCGGGGACUGCAGGAGGGGACGAGAGGGGCCGAUCUGCACCGGAGAUGCUGCUGCGGGGGAGACGCCCCUGCGGGCGGCGGCGACGUAGGAGGCCUUCGGGGCAGGCGCCUCAUCCUCGUCGUCGGAGCCGUCAGUCGUGGAGACCUCCCCCCACCUCAUGGACUUAGAUCUGCCAUGGGAAGGGGGAAAGAAGGAGGGGGCGGCCGGGGAGAGGGCCUUACCUGAGCCACCAGCGGCAGGGAGGGGGGGUCUUGGGUGGCUGCCGAGGUCUGAGUGACCGGCGGCAGGCUGGUCUGGGCGAUGGCCGGGGUGGCGGCGGUCGGGGUCGGGGUGGCGGCGCUGCGGGGGGGAGAGCCUGACGGAGCCAUCCAAGGGCGUCGCCCACCCAGUCACUGUCUCGUCCGCAUGGAGGAUUAAUUUCUUGUUUUUUCUAUCUUAGCGGCAAUGUGAAUGCACUUACGCACACAAAUCUUUGUUGCGUGAUUGAAUCUCCAACUUCUAUAUGUGUGAAUCCAUUGUCUAGGCCUUGUUUACUUUCAAAAUUUUUUACAAAAUAGAAAUAGUAGUAUUUUCGUUCGUAUUUAAUAAAUAUUAUUUAAUUAUGGACUAACCAAAAUUAAAAGAUUUGUCUCGCAAAUUACAGAUAAACUAUGUCAUUAGUUAUUUCUUUUAUCUAUAUUUAAUACUCCAUGCAUGUACCACAAGAUUCGAGGGUCAUAGGGUAUGUAAAAAAUUCUACAAAAUAUUUUAGGAACUAAAACAAGGCCCUAGUGCUGAUCCUUCUUUUUAUUUUCCUAAAUUAAAUGUUUCGUUCAUGGUUCUCUAGGCUUGUUAACCACUACUUAGCGCAUAAAGGCAUGUACAAUAGGUCUAAACGCCCCUUUAUCUCCUUUUUUAAAAAAGAAGAUCCCUCCGUCGAAGCCCGGAGAUGGAGCCACCAUCAUCUCGUGAGAUGAUAGGGCGCCCGUGCUCCGAGGCCGAGAAGACGACCUGAGCAGCAUUGUAUGACGUUGUCUUCCUGUCUCGACGCUGUGCAGAUUUGGGGUGCUCCUAAGGGCAUGUACAGUCCACAGACGGGUUAUUGUCUGUAAGUUAUUAUCAUAUGAGAUGUAGACAGGUAAAUAGACAACUCAUACAGUGGACCGUCUAUUUGACUGUCUAUGAACUAUUUAAUGUGAUUACACAUCUAGGAUCCAUCGUGAAUAAGCUCUACGUGUGCUCUCUUGUUGUUUGUUUAUAACAAUGAGUCAAGCAAAUAAUUUUCAUUUCAAAGGAUCAUAACAACAGCACUGAAUAAAUAAGCUAACUGCAGGCAUCUGUACGUAUGUAAACACCGAACAAAACAAACUACCUGCGGGCAUCAUUCAAGGCAUCUGUAUGUAUGUGCAACCGAACAGAACAAGCUAAAUUAUUUUUGUUUUUUUGAGCAUGUGUGUGUGCUCUCCGAGUACUGAACAAGCUAACUGACAAAUACGACACGGACUGAGUGUACUGAAAGUCUAAAUCAUGGCGGCACGUGUGUGUGCUCAUGGCAGUGCCCAGCGUGACUUCCUCCGCGCACGGCCAUCCUGGAUCCGCCCAGCCGUCGACUCGUCGUACAGCGCGGCUCUCUGCAGACGAGAGCUCCUUGGGCCACGAGCCGCACUCGUCCUCUCGUGAAGCGACGGAGAGGGGUCGUCUUCUCGUGCGCAGGGUCUGUUUUGCAAAAUAAACAACAUACAGACGGGGCUUACAGCCGCGCUGUACAUGCCCUAACCGCGGUUGAGGUUUGGGCGCACGCAAGAUGGAACCAUCGCACCAAAAUGUUCAUCACUGACGGUGCUCGAGAUGUCCGCGCGAAGGCACAUCAUCGGCACGCGGCUCGCUUCCUCGGUCGCGUAAAGGCUUCGCGCUAGGGGCGGAUGCGGACGACCUUCCAGCUACUAGCCUACUACUGCAUGAAGAAGGAUCCCUGCACUGGUCAUUGGCGGCGACCACACUAGGUUCCCCGCUCCGGCGUACUCUCUAACCAUGCCAUCUUAGUUUCAGGUGCGACAACGGGCUCUGUUCGUUUAAGCUUAUCAACAUAUCGGCUAUUCAACAGUGUUUUUCCCUCACAACAAAUCAGCGAACAAUAUUUUUCCACCAUGGUUAUCUUCUGAUUCAGGCACGGGUUGUGAUGGACUCAUGGUGUCGUCUUUCUUUUGCAUAGAAACAAGAAGCAGUGAAGAAGCAUAUUGAACUACUCUGGUAUUACUAUACUAUGCUGUGAUGCAUGUAUUCUGAGCUACGCUGUUUCUUGACAGCAUAGUGAUCUAUUUAAUUUCUCUGAGUUGCCAUGUACUUGCUGAAACUGACUCCUUGUCAAUAGAAUUAUUUUCAGUUAUCAUCUAUUAUGUGAAUCUAAUUAUAUUGUUUACUUUGAUGUUAACAACAAUUAAUGCAUGUUUGUUUAUUCAAGCACAUAUACAACAAGUCAAGUUGAUGUUUAUGGAAUCAUUUUUCAUCGAAAACAAUACAAUGGUAUACAAAUUGAUAUUCAUCAUUAAUCUUCGCAACAUGCGAAGCACUAAAGUGCUUUCAAGCGACAUCUUGUCUCUGAGUUAUACGACCUGUCCUUUUAGUUAUCUAUAUAUCAAAUUUUAGUUUCAUGGAGACGACUUCCCAUCUCUGGGUUGUACAUACCCUAAUAAUGUGACUAUGUGAGUUACUCCGCAUAAAGAGAACAAUAAGGCGAGACAGCAAGGCAGAUGUAUAAUGCAUUUACUUUGUUGCACCCAUCAAUGCAGAAGUGUCAACACACCGGUUUACAUUCCAUUUAUCUUUUUAGAAAUAAUAAUGUAUUACAACACGAUGUAUUAAAGUAAUUAUUAGGAGUUUGAAUCAUGCGAGAUCUUACAAGUUGUUAUCUAAAUUGCUACAACACAUUAGCAUGCAUGCCCAAAUAAAAAAACACCUUGCUCUUCCGUACAUAACUCUAUUCUCUAAAACAAUCCAAAUGCAAGCAUUUUUCUACAUCCAAGUCUCCAAGUGCGAGUGUUCUGCACGUUUCAUGUUUAACUCUGAAUAUUCUCUCUAUAGUCAUAGUUUACCAUGUUUGUGUGAGUCAUAUGCUCCAACAACCUUGAGUUAGCACUGACUUGUCUUUAUUAGGGUAGACGAGUACAUUGAGCAAAGGAGUCAAGGCUGCGGUGACAUGCAACGGACUGCUCAUAGGGGCGACAGCAUAAGGCGCGUGCCAGUUUUGAGAUGGCAGGACGCCAGGGCAGCGACUAAUGAGGACAUAACUUCUUUGGAUGCACAUAUCGCUCAUACAACCACUAUACAAGGACCGAUGAAUAGAGCUCUGAUGCGAGAAUUAUAUCUAGAGGUAAGCUCGUUAAUCAUUUCUAACUAAUUAUUUUUUACGAUUAUGAGAAUAGAUGUCUCCACCAACUAAAUUUUAGCUAGCUAAAAUUAUUUUAGCUACUCUUAGGUGACUAAUGGAACUAAACUAUUUUAGCCCCUUUUAGUCAAUGUGUUUGGAACUUUAGCUACUAAAGUGACUAAAGUUUAGCUAGCUAAAAUUUAGUUGGUGGAACCAAACAGGGCCUUAGAAAAAAUAUUGGAGAUUAUCAUGAUAGUUGGAGAGAGGGAUGGAGGAGGACAAGAUUAGCAAUAGCAUCCAAGUCAAGAGAGAUCGGGAGUCCAAGUUGAUGUUGGGUCCAGUUUGACUUUUAGGAGUAGUAGACCAUGCUAAAAAUAUCGUCUUUGUUACAUAUGAACUCCUUUUUUCUACAUGUGUAUAGAAAAUUAAGAAGAUAAGUUUUCCAAUGGCACGAGUCUCACAUUAAAAUUCCAUUGAAGUUAAUGAAAAUCUUAAAAAAGUCUACAUCCAGAAUUGGUUAGAGUGAUGCAACACCAUCUUUUAAGCUAUUAGGACCGUGUAGUGUCUUUAAGAUACUAGGGACGUGCCUAAGACUCUAGGUGCUAUGAUGCCUAAAGACUUUAUAAUUAGUAGUUGCCGCUCAUAUUAGGAUUUGAGUUUUGAUUUAAAUAAAACUGUCUCUAGAAAGUCAUCAUUUAUUGUUUUGUUAUACCCCGGUUUUGAGUGCUUAAUCAUAAUCUACGAUUCAUAUUGAGAACAUGUUUUUUUUAGUUAUCACCGGUAUUUCUCGAUUUAUAGGUAUGAAUUAGUUUUUUUGGCGAGCUCAAUUGAAUAGUGACAUAAUUAAUAACUAGAGAACAUAUAUCAGUAUGUCAAGCCUCCAAUCAUUGUUUAUCUCUGCUUAGCGGGAGAUGGGCUUUUUAGUUUUUUGCCACCACAUGUCAUCGUUAUAGGUGGGUUCUUGCAAAUUUGCCAUUCAUGACUCAUAUAUCAGUAACUUAUAUGGUCCCACAUGUCAUUGACACACACAGGUUUGACACACUUAAAGGUGGCAAAUAAAUAAAAAAUCCGCGGGAGAUCGGGACCUCCUUUCACGUUAGCAGCACGCGGUGCUUGAGGCGCACGAUGACGUGGAUGGCGGCCUGAGCACCGAUUGGGACUGGGAAGGAAAUUGAGCGGAUCUGUGGGUUUGAGGGUGAUACGCGGAAGGAAAUUGAGCUACCAUUUUUUUUGUGAAUCAAUUGAUACCAAAUUGAUAGUCUAUCUACCCUAUUAAUAAUUCACCAACUUUUUCUUUCUUAGAUCCACACAAAAAAAAUGUCUCCGCUGAGAAGCUUUGUCUUAGUGCACCCAAAAAAUUGUACCCAAAAAAUAAUACCUUUAAAAUAAACUGUCCAGAUUUACUUUUGAGUCUUCUCUCUCCUUACUCACUCAAAUCACACGGUCAAGAUCAUUUGUAUCGACCUUCUCCUCUCAUCUCCCAGGCCCGCAACUAGACCCACGCCCGCGCUCCGAGUUCGAUCGCUCAGCUUGUCUUGUCUUUUCAUCGAUCAAUUCUUUCCUGGAGUGACCAUGGAAAGAAAAAUUUACCACGCGACUUCUGAUCUGAUCCGACUGCUGGUGGCGUGACGGCAACACGACAGGGAAGCGGCGAUGUGUGGAGACGUGGAGGCACGGGUGCUCGGAUCGCGGGGGCGCAGCGGCGACGCAAGAUUCACCGGCGCGGGUGGCCGCAGCAGGGCGUGUGAGGAUGGCGGUAGUUCGCCGUGCGGACGCCAGGUAGCGCAGCCGCAAGGUCAGGUAGGCGAGCGCGGAGGCGAUGGGGCUGUGGCAGCGCCUCGAACGGCACUGCUGCGGUUCCCCGGCGGCGAGGCGCCCACGAUCCUCAAGGUGCCCGGGGGGUGGUGGCCAAGUCUUUGCACACCAGCAUGUUCUAUGCCUCUAUCACGCCGGGGAGGCCAUCACGCUAUUCCAGUUCGUGCGCGGCCUAUGCCAUGGCGCUGCGGUGGUUGCACUAGCCGCGCGCGGGUGCUAGGCGUUGUGCGAACUGCAUCAAAUGGCGCGUGUACGACAAUAGUAGAUCCCCAGGCUGCUGGCGGCGCCCAUCCCAUCUUUCCCGGAUUGUGUGGUUGUUCGUCAGAGCAAGUAUUAUAGUGGGCUAUAAGCUGGCUAAAUGCUGAGUGGAGGAGAGAAGGAAGGAGAGAGAAGAGAAACUUGCUGCUUACAGCCAGCUUAGACAUAGGAAACAAGAAACUUUGUGAGAGAUAAGUGGACCAUGUAUUAAUAGUGAAUAGCUAACUAUUGUAUAGAUGGGCUGAAAUAAGGCUACAAGAAAUCAUACAGCCAGCAAUAGACUGUAUUAUUAAACUUGCUCUCAUGAUGCUGUCGGCGGGACGAGGAGGCCGCAGUCGAGGAUCUGUUGCAAACCAGGCGUGUUCAUUCGGGCCUUGUUUAGUUCCCAAAAAAUUUUGCAAAAUUUUUCAGAUUCUCCGUCACAUCGAAUCUUUAGACACAUGCAUGAAGUAUUAAAUAUAGACAAAAAUAAAAACUAAUUGCACAGUUUGGUCGAAAUUGACGAGACGAAUCUUUUAAGCCUAGUUAGUCCAUGAUUGGACAAUAUUUGUCAAAUACAAACGAAAAAACUACGGUGUCGAUUUUGCAAAAUAUUUUGGAACUAAACAAGGCCUCGGUGUUCCCCUUCUCCCUCUGAUUGUCUUGCUCUUCUGAUAUUGCUUGUUUUUAAUUUGUUUGCUAUGGUGUGGGCGUGGGUGUGCUGAAGCACGAGAAUAAGAAGCACGAGAAGGAUCUCAGUGAUUUGUUCAAGGUUGUCAUCAGCAGCAACACAAGGUCCCUUGAUACCGCCUCCUCCCCUUUGUGUUGUGUUUAGACAUAUUAUAUGUUCUCUAUCACUUGUGCUCUCCACAUAUAAAAAUAUUCAAGAUUUCACAUCUCAUUGUUUGGACACUAUGGACUUGUUCAGUUCACGAAAUUUUUUGGUUUUGGCUACUGUAUCAUUUUCGUUUGUAUUUGAUAAAUUUUAUCUAAUUAUGGACUAACUAGGCUCAAAAGAUUUGCCUCGUAAAUUACAGACAAACUAUACAAUUAGUUUUUUAUUUUUAUCUAUAUUUAAUGUUUCAUACAUAUAUCUAAAGAUUUAAUAUGACAAAAAAAUUUAGAAAAUUUUGGAAACUGAACAAGGCCUGCAUGGAGCCAUGGACCUUGGAACCAUGCUGAAGAUAAAAUAUGCCUUGGCUGCAAAAAGAUAGCCAUAGAUUUAGAAGAAUCACUAAUGAAUCUUAGUGAUUUUACGUAUCAUACCACAUUUCUAUUUCAACAAAUAAAUUAGCUGAAAUAUACGAGAACAUGACAUUGUUAUGCCUUGUUAUGCAUUAGCAUUUUCCUGAAUUCAGAGUGACUUAUACUAACGGAAAAUAUCAUUGGUUGGUUCUUUUAAAGUGUAUCCCUGAAAUAUAAAGCCGUGACAUGCCACGGGCACUAUACUAGUCAGGUCAUAGGAGGAGGCAACGUAGUGUUUGGCACGUGUUUUUAACUGUCGACGUGGCGAGUGACAAGGAAAAGAGAAGCUUUCGCAGCAAGGAGUUGUUACUGCAGCUGGUGGUGUGCUUGGCCUUCGCGCGCACGGCUAGGCCUCGUUUACUUCCAAAAAAUUUUACAAAAUAUGAAUAAUAAUACUUUCGUUUGUAUUUGAUAAAUAUUAUCUAAUUAUAGACUAACUAGGCUCAAAAGAUUCGGCUCAUCAAUUCCGACCAAACUGUGUAAUUAGUUUUUAUUUUUAUCUAUAUUUAAUACUCCAUACAUAUGUCUAAAGAUUCGAUAUGACGAGGAAUCUGAAAAAUUUUACAAAAUUUUUAGGAACUAAACAAGGCCUGGCUUACAAUGCAUGGUCCCGGUAGAGCUUGACGAGUUUCCGAUGCAUGUGAAUAAAACAAAAGGCUUACAGUAAAGCUUUAUUAUGAGGGUAUUUAAUUCCUCUUCCAUCUAAAAAAAUCUAGGUUUUAGGCCUUGUUUAGUCACCCCAAAAACCAAAAAGUUUUCAAGAUUUUUCGUCACAUCGAAUCUUGCGGCACAUGCAUGAAGCAUUAAAUAUAGACGAAAACAAAAACUAAUAACACAGUUUGAUUGUAAAUCGCGAGACGAAUCUUUUUAUGCUAGUUAGUCUAUGAUUAGACAAUAUUUGUCAUAAACAAAGGAAAGUGCUACAGUAGCGAAAUCUAAAAAAAUUUCACAUCUAAACAAGACCUUAGUUCAUCAUAAUGAAAGUAAAUAUCAUAUAAAUUUUUUGGUAACCACCAGCAACCAGAAAUUUUUUACAUUUUAGAUGGAACUAAAGAUACUCAUAAAUAAUUUGGUAUUUUGUAUUUCAUUGUUCCAAAGCAUAUGACAUUUUAUAUUUUGUAUUUUGUGAGAAUUAAACACACCCUCUAUUUCCAAAAUAUUGUUUUAGUGUUGUUAAAUAAAAAGGGCAUUCCGGACUAGCCUAGUGCAACUCCAGCAGGGCCCCUACUCAAGCCCUAAUAGCUAAAUAUGGGUGCCCGGGCUAAAAACAUUACUCCAGCAGGACCCCUACUACAGACCGCAUAUUUGGCUGGGCACCUAUAUUUCUCCUCCAGACCCCAUUCCUGUUGGUCCAACAGAACAGCCCCCAUCCUCCAUCGCGUGUCCUAGCCCCAGCGCAUGCUCCCUCUCUCUCUCUUUCCUUGCAUGUGCAUGACACCCUACGGUAACCAGCUUGAUGCUCUAAUUGUGUCCCUGUCCAAAUGAAAGAGGAAGAAGAAAAAUACAAUGACGAGUGGGUCCCUUCUAUCAUUCUCUCUAGAAUAGGUUUGGAGGCCCAAAUUUGGGUGCUACUGUUGGAGUUGAAGCAAAAAAGUUAAACCCUAAGAAGUAGGGAUGAGCAUCCAAAUUAAAAAUAGAAGCCUAAUUUUGGGGGCUAGUGCUGAAGUUGCUCUUACAACAUGUUCCUUCAUCUGGAUGGUUUUGUUUUUUUUUCUCUCUUUUUGAUCAGGCCUGUUUUCUCGGGCAAAUUAUAUGGUGAAAACCACCUACUAGGUGGAACAUAGAAACAACUAAAAUAUAUUUUGAUCGUUUUAAAAGAUUUUGAAACUUGGCACAUUUAUAGUGCACACAAAUAUGUACUCACAAACAAAAGUUGAAAUUAUCACAUUUGAGAAUUUUACAAAAAAUGAUUUUUUUUAGGCUCAUGUGCACUAAACUAGAAAUUUCCUAUAUUUUGUCUUUUAGUCCACAUGAACUUAUCAUUUUCAUAUGAAUUUUACUAGUUUGAGUUGGUGUGGGGGUAUAAACUUCUAUACCCUUACGGCUAGACUUGGGUCAGGAGAUUUGGCCCAUUACGAGAUAGCUCGAGGCUUGAUCCAACUGCCUGGAGUUUCGCGCAAGGAAACAAGACGUGGAGAUCAAGCAAGAUUCUAAUCGGUUGAUAACAUAUUAUAUAUGACAAUUGUAACCGACUAGGAUUAGUUUCCAGAUCUGUAACCCUGCCCUCUGGACUAUAUAAAGAGAGGCAAGGGACCUACCUUACACAACUCAACACAAUUCAACUCAUCCCAGAUCAAUACAAUCAGACGCAGGACAUAAGUAUUACACCCACACGGCGGCCGAAUCUGGAUAAAAUCCUUGUUUGUGUCUUGCGUCACCAUCAAAUUCGUAACUUGCGCACCUGUCUGCCGAUAAACCACUACCGUGGGUAUACCCCAAGGUAGACUGCCGACUAGCUUUCGUCGACAUUGACGCGCUAGGUAGGGGUGUGCGUACAGCUCUUCAGACGAACAAGAUGGUCAUCAUCUCUGCUUCCACUGUCGUGGCUGAAGGCCUCACGUUCACCGUCGGCCAGAUCACCUGGACAACUCACGACGAUGGCCUCACGACCACGACUCUAGAAGAAGAUCAGAUCCGACCUAAAGCAGCAGAGGUGGUAGUCCCGACCACAUCUACUGCGACCACCUCCGCUCCGACAACAUUGUCGGUUACGCCGACAACUCAUCCUCCGCCUCUCUGUUACAAGGGAAAACGGGUCGACAACUCCGACUUGCUCGAAGCCAUCGAUCGCGCUAACCGCAAGCUCUCCGAGGCUUCCGAUUUGGUAAAUACAAUUUCAAGCCAGAUCACCUGGAUGGCGCCGCCUAAUCGUCGCGAAUCCCUUCGACCAACUCGUGUCACCACACACGAACGGCUGGGAACGUCGUUGGCGAUCACGACCACCCCCGAAGGACGGAGCGUUCGUUUCAAGGUGGCCCCUCCAAACGGGGGUUUCCCUCUCGGCCUGAGCAACGCAGCCGACCAGGUCGUACGCUUUGCUCGGCAGUUGCUCGGAGCGAUGGAUCUGUCGCCUAGACAACCGGCGCGACCGGUACGCCACUUCAUCAGCGUGGUUUCUAUCCGAACAUUACCGGAGGGCAAUACUGCCAACACAAAUUCAAGCACGGGCUCCGUCCCCACCGAGGUCCUACACUCCGAGGACGAAAGCUACGACUUGGAUCUCCUCCCAUAUCCCCCGGGUUUCCCCGAUUCUCGGUUUUUCCGCCUCGACGAGGAGACCUGGUCCUCAACGUCAUUAACGACGAACCAGUCAUCGAUGGAGAAACCGAUGAUCAAAGACAGCAGCGUAAGAAGCGCAACGCCGAUUGCGCUCAGCGGCGGGCGGAAGAAGAACAGGGACAGUUAGUCCCAAACAACCUCGACGACGUCUUCGACAUGGUGGGGGACCAACAAGUGUUCAUGACCCCAAGCGCCAACGUAGUUGUCGCCAUGACAAAUCUCGAACGACUCCCAGAUACGCCAGAAUAUCAUGACAAUCUCAAUUUUUUUUGUGUGUGAGUACAUAUUUGUAUGCUCUAUAGAUGUCUCGAGUUUCAAAAAAAAAUUGAAUGAUUGGAAUAAUUAUUUGAAUUGGUUUUUAUGUUUUCACGGGUUUCCAUACAUAUUUUGCCUUUUUCUCGUGUCGGUCAUCGAACACCCAAAUCUAUUUAUGUGGUUGUUCAUUGAUUUCUGGGCAUGUUUAGAUGUACUCAAAACCUAAAUAUUUACAAGAUAUUCCAUUAUAUCAAAUCUUACGGCACAUGCAUGGAGUAUUAAAUAUAGAUAAAAAAUAACUAAUUGCACAGUUUAACUGUAAAUCACGAGACGAAUCUUUUAAGCCUAAUUAGUUUAUGAUUGGACAAUUUUUAUCAAAUACAAACGAAAAUGCUAUAAUAUUAAAAUCUAAAUUAUUUUUGCAUCUAAACAAGGCUUAAAUAUAGAUUUGCCAAAUUUCAAAAUAUUUGUAUGCUCAAAAUAUGGAUUUGCCAUUUUUUCUCGUGCCGGUCAUCGAACUUUCCAAUCGCGUUGGUCACUCACCACCCGCAGUUCUGCACGGCCGACCUUCUGUGGGACGGUUGGGGCACCGACGUCCCGCCUCCGUACUUUCGGCUCUCCGCAAAUGCGAUGGUGCGGAUAUUUAUCCCACCUCCCAAGAGGUCAGGACCCUCCCUAGUCCCGAGUCUCUCUCGACCCACCAAAGCAGAAUCGGCUCGACUCGCCGAGUACACGCGACGCGACACGAAACCAAAGCGCGGACCGAACCCUACCCCUCCGCCGCGACCCCGAUCCCCCACAUCGUCGGCGAUGAGUUCCUCUUCCAACGGCGGUAAGAAGCCGGCUGCCAGCGGCGGCCGUGGGGGCCCCACCAUCCGCACGCUCUCCGACUUAAACCGCGGGCCCGCCGGCUUCCCUGGCGCCGGAGGUCACGGCAGCGGCAGCGACGACGACGAGCCCCAGGAGUACUACACCGGCGGCGAGAAGAGGUAUAUCUUUCUCAGCCCCUCUCGUGGGCCAGUGUUUCCUGAUUGACUCCGCUGGGAUUUGCCUGCGAUCGUGCGUACGGGCAUCGGAAUCGCCUCCUCCUAGUUUUGUGAUCUAGUUAGGUCGUCUGGAUAGAGUGAUAAUCGGCUUCAACCUUCAGGGUGAAAUAUCUGAUUCUCUGAACUAGGGUUUAUACGGUGUUUCGCGUGUUACUUUUGCGCGGAUUUGACUUUAUUUUCCAUGUGAGCUGUGCUAUAUAGGGCAGCCGUGACUUCUGUAGAUGUGGUAUGGGCGGUAGCAGUAGCAGUAGCGUUUGUUUCUCCCAAGUUGCAACACACCAGAAAUCUGUGUCUUUCAGUUUAUGUGUCUGUUUUUUUUAUUCGUCAGAAGAAUUCUUCUAUGCACUAUUGGAUUGUCCUUGGCGUGCUUUGGGAGCGAGCCUGCUUGUAUAGAUUUUGGAUUACAGGAUAUUUCUGUCUCUGGACACGCAUCAGGUGAAAUUGCGAGUGAUCUGAACUAAAGUUGUUUGCGCAUUGAACUGACAAUGCUAAAUCAAUACAACUGCUAUUUAAUAAAAAAAACAUGGAGUUCAAACUUGGGGCACAUGUGCUCUGAUGACUGAAAUUGAAUGGAGAAUUGCCCAAGCCCUUUGGUGCAUUAAAUUGUACAAUGUACAUACAGCUCAAAUCACGAUGAUGCAAAUUUGGUCACAUGUAGAUGUGCUAUUCAAAUAUUAUUGUCUUUAACCCAUAAUGUACUUAUCCUUAUUGCUUUUGAAUUGCAUUGUGCUUUCAGCGAGGAAUAAUAAACAUCGUUAGUAGCACACAAAUACAAUUAUAUGAAAAGAAAAACAUGGCAUUCCUCUGGCGUUGAGGGAAUGGCUUUGAGUAUAUCAAAUGCCAGUUUGAGGGUGUGCUUUUAGGUCUUGAUCGAGAGUGCUUCCUUUCGUGCCUUGGUUAGCAGAACUAGAAAUGCCAGGACUAUGGGGAAGGGUCCCUCAGGUGAGUCGUGAGAUGGCUAAAUGUGUAUGACGAAUUGUCUAUCUGAGAAAGGUGCUGAUUACAACUCAUUCCUUGGAUGGGCCAUAGGCCUGGUGCUAGAAUCCGGUGCUGUCGAUGGACUUAUUGAUCUGGUUGACACUCUUAGGUGUGUUGCUGGAGGAGGGUUUUUAUGCAGGCGUAAAAAAGAAGGCAAAUCCCCACAAGAGGAACAACAACUCUUGAGCUUAUUUUUUUGGCUUCAGAUUGAAAGGCUAUCAAAUAGAAAGAAAUAUUCAUAGUUACUAUUCCACUUAAAAGUGUUUUUUCCCCUUUGAAUGAAAAGGAAAUAUAUUGUAGCUUUACGGUCCAUUACUUCCCUUAUUUUCAAUGGCAUCUUGUUCUAUUUUUUGGACCACACUUUUUCCAUCUAGAUUUCAUGCAGAACAUUGACAAGAAGAUCUCCUUAAUCUUUAGCUCCACAUGUGGCUUUAGAGAAAAUCUCCACAAAUUAAUAGGGGAUUUAAGUUUGUAAGUUGACCUUGUGCUCUUCUUCUGUUGCGUGAGUAAUUUUAUAUUUAUCUUUGUAACGUGCAGUGGAAUGCUUGUUCAAGAUCCAACAAGAAGAAAUGAUGUGGAUGCGAUAUUUGAACAAGCCAGGCAGGCGGGUGCUCUCCAUGGAAUGCCCCCUUUUCUUGGUGACGAGUCUUCUGGCUCUAGGAGCUUUUCAGGGACUGGCCGACUUCUUACAGGGGAGACAGUGCCAUCUGCUGCACCUCAGGAACCAGCACCAGUUCGAAUACGCCACAAUAUACAUUUGUGGAACAAUGGCUUUAGUGUGGAUGAUGGUCCACUGAGAUACUACGAUGAUCCUGAAAAUGCAGAGUUCCUUGAGGUGAUUCCUUUUACAUGAUGUUUCUGAAUGAUUUGAUAUAUUCCAAGUUUUCCCUCUUUUCUCAAUAAUAAGAUACUGUUUAAGAAUUUGUGACAUAUACACAAGUUUCAAAAUGUCACUAGUAUAAAAAAUAUCUGUAACUCAUAAGUGAUUGGAUUUCGAUAACUUCAAAUAAUAACAAUUGCGUGAUACGGAGACUGUCUGUCCAAAAAGAAACAAGUAAAAAGGAAGAGAGGGGGGGGGGGGGGUACAAACUUAUUUUCCCAUUAGUCCUGACUCCUGAUUAACUAAUAUUUGAAUUAUACUGUGCAUUGUUCCGGAGAUGACUAUUUAACAGUAAUAACUUUAUUAUGCUUGUACUGCUCAUCUCCCAUGCUGUCAUUUGCAUUUUAUUGUGGAAGGUUGGACCACUUGCCCUUCACAUGUUCCAGAACAUUUUGGUUAUGACUUAAUCAGUGAGCUAUCAUGUUCAAAAUGUCAGUCACUCCCUCUGUCCCAGAAUAGUAGACAUUUUGGUAUCUAUAUCACUGAUACCUAUGCUCAAGGCAAAAGACCUUAGUACCCCUAGAAAUAGAGAUAGUAUUGGGAAAAGAAAAAUGUGUUGGGGAGAAGAGUGAGGUACAUUGAGAAGUAAGAAUUACAACCAUUUUGUGACAAAUUUUGAAUGCUAUAAGGUCAAGUAUUCUGGGAUGGAGGGAGUAUGUUACUUCCAUUAUUACUUGAAUCUGUUCUCCACCUCUUGAACUCUUACUUGAGGCAGAUCUCAACAUUACCGUGCCAUAUUGCUAUUUCUUGUGCCUGAAAAUCAUGAACUGAUUUGUCUACAUCCUAUUGUUAUCUAUAACUUCCGUUUUCCUAAUAGGCCAUGUCUUAAUGACCAUGUAGGCUCAUAGUGUUGGGCUGUUUGUUUUGUAAUCUUAGUCAUAAAUAAAGGUUUGUCAAGCUAUUAUUAAGUUCUUAGUUAAGUAUUGUAACAGGACAUCACAGUAUUUUUUGAAUGGGGCAUGUAAACAUGAAUAAUUGAAUGCCUUUGUCGUUCUCUCACUAAUUGUAUGCCGUUUUGGGUUUUCAGAGCCUUAAGAUGUCAAAGUGCCCUAGGGAGCUGGUGCCUACUGAUGGAGAACAUGUUGAUGUUUCUGUUAUUAAAAGGAUGGAAGAUUACAGGGUGAGAGCCCUCUUCCUUGCAUAUGGGCAUAUGGCUGUAUUCUCAUUGAUUGCCUUGAUUCUACUUAUAUGUCCCUUCUGGUUUUGUUCAUGUAGGAACCUGUAAGGCCUCGAUCAGCUUUCCAGGGUGUUGGAAGAACCCUGGGUGGUGGACCUUCCCCAGAUGAGAGUGCAACACCUGCUCCUGCUCCUGCACCAGCGGCCCCUGCUGCUUCGAGGUCUGUUGGCAUUGUCGUGGAUGACUCCCAGCCAUUUACAUCCAUACAGCUGAGGCUGGCUGACGGCACUCGCAUGGUCGCCCGGUUCAACCUGCACCACACCGUGGGAGACAUCAGGUCCUUCAUAGACGCAUCUCGGCCUGGAGCUACAAGGCCUUAUCAGCUGCAGACAGGUUUCCCACCCAAGCAGCUGGCUGACCCAAUGCAGACCGUGGAGCAAGCUGGGCUGGCGAACUCGGUUAUCAUGCAGAAGAUGUAAUGCUUCGGCAAUCUGGGGAACUCGGAUGCGUCAUACUGCAUCUUUUGAAAACUGUCGUAUUAUGGUUGAUCAUGUUAUCAGAUACUGGUUUGGCGCAUCAUUUAUCGUUACAGUAGCAUCUGAUGCCUCAUUGUGAGCUUAAGAGUUUAUAAUUCAUCUAUGAACUGAAGUAAUGCUUUCUGAUCUACAGCAGAUACUUAGUGCCGAGUUAAAGUUUACACGUCUGGUCAUAAUGAACAAUCGUUGCUUGCACGACUUGUUUUCAUUUCUCAUGUUAUGGCGUUAUGUUAUUUUGUGUUGACAUGACCACUUCCUUGCUUCCUUGUAAGUUGAAGCACAAUUUGCAACAUAAAGUCAGUCUUAAUGGAGAAUUUUAUAUCUUAGGCCUUGUUUAGUUCCGAAUUUUUGGUUUUGGGUACUGUAGCACUUUUGUUUUUAUUUUACAAAUAUUGUUCAAUUAUGAAGUAACCAGAUUCAAAAGAUUCAUUUCGCGAUUUACAGAUAAAUUGUGCAAUUAGUUUUUAUUUUUGUUUAUAUUUAGUACUUCAUACAUGUGCCGUAAAAUUUGAUGUGAUGAGAAAUCUUGAAAUUUUUUUGGUUUUUAGGUGAACUAAACAAGGCUUUAGUUUUCAACACAUCUUAUUUUGGAAACGGUGCAGAAGAGUUUUAUGGGGAUAAAACUCUCUACUCAUAUGAAACUUUUAUUAUCUUUUACUUCAUUAAUAUAGUGUCACCUCAGCAUAUUUAAUGUUUAUGAUACUCUAAUAAAAUUAUAUUGGUAUUGCCACAUCAGUAUAUUUAAUAGUGCCACAUUAGUAUAUUUAAUGCUCAUAAAACUCUAAUAAAAUUAUAUUAAGACCGGCCUAACAUGAAUGGAAUAGGAAAAGAGGAAUCGAAUUGAGACUGUGAAAGGCGAAUUUCAAGUUGAAGCGUGACCCAAUGGGAAUGGAUAGGGACAACAUGAAUGGAAUAGGGAAAGGCAAAUCGAAUUUUUUUUGUUGAAAACAAAGGCAAAUCGAUUCAAAUUGAACUGUUGAAGCGUGAGUGCGUGACUCAAUCAAUGGGAAUGGGAUAGGGACAAUAAGGGCCCGUUCGUUUAAUCUGGAUUGGAUGCCUUGGAAUUGUUCCAGGUGGAUUGGUAGGUUCAUUUCUACUAAUAUAUAUUAGCUGGAACCGUUCCCACCCUCAAACUCUGCCAAACGAACAAGGCCUAAAUGGGAAUGGUAUAGGGAAAGACGAAUCGAUGGGUUCAAUUUGGGAUUAAGUCUUGAACACUUCCUGUUGUUUGGAAGUUGCAACUUUGCUACACCCUCAGUUUCAAAUUAUAAGUUAUAUUGAAUUUUUUGAUUAAUCUAUUUUGUUAUGUAUUUAGAUAUAUUAUUAUAUCUAGACUAGAUGUAUAAUAAAAUAAAUGUAAAAAGAAAUAAAAAAAAAAUCAAAAAACGAUUUAGGCCUGAUCUAGUUUCUAUUUUUUUUAAAAAAAAUUACGUCAUAUCGAAUCUUUGAACGCAUGCAUAUAGUUAAAUAUAGACGAAAAUAAAAACUAAUUACACAGUAUAUCUAUAAUUUAUUAAACAAAAUUUUUAAACCUAAUUAGUUUUUACUUAAAUAAUAAUAAUUAAAUAUAAACAAAAUUGCUACAAAGUUAAAAAUUUUUGUGAAGUAAACAAAGCCUUGGGCGUGUUUAAUUCCAAGUCGACAUUCGUGCACAAUCCCUGGUGUGGCCGAGCAUCUGCUGAGAGGUGGAAGUGGAAAUCUGGAAGCAUGGAAGCAUGCCAUGGAGGCAGAUCGUAAUUCUUCCCCGUGCGACCUCCUCCCUGAUGUUGCCGCCGCUCUCUCCCCUCCAGCGUCGCCUCCUCGCGGCGGGCCCAAAACUCCUUGCUCCGCGUUUCUUCCGCUCAUUCUCCAGCGCUACCGCACCGGCAGCACGCAAGCCGACCACCGCCGUGGCCGUCCUCUGGGAUCUGGCCGCUUCCCGUCCCCCGUCUACCAUCCCGCUCUACGACGCCGCUGUACGCCUCCACCUCGCCGCCACCUCCUUCGGCCGCCUCCGCCUCUCCGCGGCCUUCGUCCACCCGUCCCACCGCCUGCCGUCCCGCGCCGCCGGGUCCGCCGCCACGACCCACCUCUGCCGCGUCUGCGGCCGCCGCUUCCGCGCCCGCGACGCGCUGGUUCGCCACUUCGACGCCAUCCACGCCCGCGAGCACGCCAAGCGCGUCGCCCGCAUCGACUCCGCCCGCGGCGGCCGCCGCGUGCGCCUCGCCGCCGCGCUGUCCCUCAAGCUCUCCAAGUACGAGAAGGCCGCGCGCGAGCUCACCGCGGGCGCGGGCACCGCCUCCCCGUCCGACGAGCUCGGGCGCGCCGGCGUGCGCGUCGAGCUCUCCCGCACCCCCGCGGCGUCCCUCCGGGAGCACGCGCAGCUGGUGCUCGACGAAGGGUCCGCGCGGUGCUUGAUGCUCGUCUCGGACCACGAGGAGCUGACGCCCCUGCUGCGGGUGGCGAGGGAGAGGGGCGUGCGGUCGGUGGUUGUCGGCGGUGAGUCCGGCCUGGCGAGGUGGGCGGACGUCGGGUUCAGCUGGGCGGAGGUGAUUGCUGGCAAGGCUAGAAAGGCCGCGCCGUCCGUGUCCGGCAAGUGGCGGGAUGGGGACGUGCUCAAGGGGCUGGAGUGGAGGUACGAAGAGGACGACGACGAGGAAGAGGUGGUGUUCGAGGACAGCGACGACGAUGGGGUUGAGGAGCUUGCACGGAAGGCCAAGGGGAAGCCGUGGUGGAAGCUGGACUCUGACGACGAGGACUCCAGUGUUGGUGGUGAAAUUGAACGAUGAUUUGAUUUGCACAUAGCUCGUUUGCCGUUUUGGGAUCUUUGAUGAAAGGAAAGCAUGGCCAUGGCAUUCCGGUGGUUGCUGUCAUGAGAUCAUGAAAGUCUAGUAAGAUUUUGUGCGUUAUGUAGUGGUUUGCACUAAUGAUCCUGUAAAUUGCAGUUGCUUGCCUGGUAUGGCUGUUACAACAGCGAUCGGUGCUGCAGCAAUUGGAAGGAUCGUGCCAAGGCGGCCAGGCCUCAUUUCCACUCCAAAACAUUAAACAUGUGUGGCUGACUAGCAGCACUGCAGCAGAGCGCAGGCACAUGCCUGGCGUACGCUAGUUGUUCAAGCGUACAUGACCUCGACACGCUGAAGUAUCCGAUCGCAUAAGCAGUAUAACCAAAUACUGCCAGCAUCCCCUCUUUGAGUCUUUGGCACAGCAUACAAACAUUUUCUUUUAACACUGGAUCGACAGUAGUACAAAAGCGCUGUUAAUUGUGCAAUCUCUGCAGACAACCAAAUGGGCGUUACAACAUGUUAUGUUACAUGUACCAGUACAGCACUAUCUUAACAGAGGUUCAAACCAAAUGUGCCGUCGCGGCUAGAUUCCGGCCAGCCCGCUCCAAGAACGCCAGCAUCCCCUCGCACUCCGCGAUAAUGGCCUUGUCCAGCCCGCUCCGGAUCACGGGCGCGAAGAAGAGCCACGACCCGGUCCCCGUCACGAACGCCAGCGUCAGCGCCGUCGCGACGGGCCGCGGCGGCCGCCACGCGCCGCCCUGCUGCCGCGCCAUCCACCGCUCGGCCACCGCGCACGCGCCGUGCAGCGCGAAGAAGGCGGUCACCUCCCCGGUGCCGGGCUCCAGCGUGAUGUAGUAGAACAUGACCUCGUGCAUGGCCCCGGACACGAGGAACGCCGCGAGCACGCCCGCCGCGGCGCCGAAGCGGGCGCGCACGGGGCGGUACACGCAGGGCCGGAGCACGCCGGGGACCAUGAGGUUCCACCGCCGGCCCCAGAAGUCGCCGAGGGAGGAGGCGAGGUACGGCCGGUCGAACUGCGGCUCCAGCUCCGCGCCCAGCAGCGCGCGGGCGAGCGCCGCGGCGGACGCGAGGAAGAGCUCCAGCAUCAGGUACACGUGCGCGCCGUCGAACACGGGCACGGCGUACGCGGGCAUCCGCGCCCUGUAGCACCGGACGGAGACGAGCGCGGAGAAGAGCGCCGCCUUGGCCGCGUACGACAGCAGGAAUCCGGAAGGGAGAGAGGAGCGGGAUGCCUGCUGCUGCUGCUGCUGCUUCUCGUUCUCGGUCUCGUCCCGGACCUUGACGGGCAGCGCGGCGCACGCGACGAAGCGCACGAGCGGGAGGGUGGGGUGGAGCGGCCCGUGUCCCGCGGCGAGGAGGAGGAGCUUGAAGCCGCAGAGCCAGACGAGGAAGAAGGCGGAGAUGGUGCGGAGGUGGAUGGAGGAGAAGGCGAAGGGGAGGACUGGGAGGAGUAGGAGCACCGGGAGGAGCGCCGCGAGGCGGGGGAUGCCGGGGCCCAGCCGCGAGGUGGCGAGACGAGCGUAGGCCAGGGCCACGGACGCGGCGGCCGAGACCACGGCGAGCCCGGUCACCUCGGACGCCAUGCCUGCCUUACUGUACUGACCACGGCGGACACCGGCCGAUCGAGAUCCGGACGAAGCCGCGUGAUGUCGAUCGAACUGGUGAUGGAAUAAAUAUGUUAUUAGUAGGAAUGGCGAUCAAGGAAAGGAUUAAAAAUGCAUCAUGUGCUACGUAUGGUGAGCAAAUUGUAUCCUCAACUGUCAUCUGCGGUGUGCAUCUGAAAGCGUCGUGCCUUCUCCAUCCUUUGUGUUCGUGUUGUUGAGCAUGACGAUGCCUACGCGUGUCGUGCCAGUGGAAGCACUGAAAGCUGCUCGUUGAUCUCAGUUAGCAAAUUUUAUCCUCAAGUGUCAUCUGCGGUGUGCAUCUGAAACCGUCGGGCCUUCUCAUCUUCGAGAAAAAUAAAAUAAAAAGAGUCUUGUGCUGAUAACAUGUUUAACGUAGAGCGUUUUUGAUGUAAAGCAAACGACUCAAGGAACAAAUGCUAAUAUAAACUUAUUUAUUGAUCCAUGUACAUGUGAAGGGAUAACUUUUAAAGAAGUGUCUUCUAAAAGAGCGGUUGAUCACUAAUAAAGUAAUUCAUAACAGGCGCAAGCACUGAGUGAGUGGAUGAUACAAGCGUCUAUCAUUACAAAGUGUUGGUUAUAUAAGAGUAAUGCAGUGAUAAAUCCGGACGUUGUAAAUGGAUAAAGUACGUGAUAAAGUACCUGCAGGUCAGGGCUACUAGCAUUGGGUCUACUGUAACGGGUCUACUGUAACUGUAAUCUCGGACCUACGUUUACUCUUUUUUCUUUCUUUCUUAUUACUUCUUAUUAUGAGGGCCGUUCACUCUUUUUUUGAUUACAUAGUACAACACAUACACUCAAUUACAGACACUCACAACGCAUCAUAGGUGUCUCGUUAUCGACAUGAACAUCGUCUACCACUAAAAAUAUAAUAUCAUUAAAUUCUAAAAAAAAUUUGCUCUCAGAGUAGGCCAAACCUAUGAUUUUGCAAGUUGUAACCACUAGCCCUUUCGCCAUUCACUCUUUCCUUAGUCACUGCUCAGUACUCACUAGAGGUAUCACUUUAUCUGUUUAUCAGCAAACUCACUGUAUGGGCCGCGGAGGCUAGAGUGUAAGCAGCGUUAGGCAAAAUAGCAAGAGCAGAGUACGGGCAAAGCAAGGAAGAAAGUCCGGUGAACGGUAAUGAUCUGACCCGAGCGUCCGACGUUCCGGACGCGUGUUAGACAACGAUUCAAUACAGCAGUCGCGCGUCCUCUUCUGCUCAUCUCUCACGUCCUUAUCCCUUCAUCGCACUGCACUUCAUUAACAGCCAGUGCUCUCCAUUUUUUUUGAAAAAAAAAUCCCUGCUAGUGUCCUCUCCUCUUUUCCUCUCCCAUGGAUCUAGCAGCGCCGCUUGCCCUCGACUUCGCUCUGCAGUACCACGAACUGGCGGCCGUGCUCCUCCCCGUCUUCUUUCCGUCCUCCACACACCUCGCUUCCUCCAUGACUGGCGGCGGCGUCCUCCUCUCCUACUCUAUUGUCCUCCUCCUCUACCAUGGUGGCUCCUUCCCCCACAUCAACAUCUCCUUCCCCAACCACGGUGUCCUUCUUCCCCACCACGGCGGCUCCUUUCUCCACAUCGACAUCUCCUUCCCCAACCUCAGCGUCCUCCUUCCCUACCACGGCGACUCCUUUCUCGACCCUAGUGUCUUCUUCCCCAACCUCGGCGUCCUCCUCCCCACCUCGACGGCGGCAGUGCCCCUCCUCGACACCAGCGUCCUCCUCCGCAGGGAACUGCUGACGCCCUCAGAUCUAGCAGCCAUGGCUCCCUGUGCAAGCUCUCUUCUGUUUCUCCCCCUUCCCAUGUUGCAACUGUGUCUUUUCAGUUAUUUUAGAAGCUUUAGAGGUAUGUUGCAGUAGAAUCAUAUGGUUGUUGCACAAGUAAAUUUGGGGACGUGUUUUGCCCAUGUUGCAGUUGUUUCAAAGGUUUGUUGCAAGUACUAUUUCAAGAUGUUUCAUUUUGUCUCUAGAUGAUGUUGCAAUCGUUCUAUCGUUCUAAUUUGGAUGUUUCAUAUGCUUCCCACAAAUGUUGCAAUAAUACUUUCAAAAUGUUUCGGUUACUUCAAUCUCAUGUUGUUGCUCGUGUUUUUAUUUGAGUGUUGUUUCAAAUGCUUCACACUAGUGUUGCAAUAAUAUGUUCCAAAUGUUUUACCUCCUUCAACUUAUUGUUGCAGCAGUUGUUCUGUGUUAUUGCAAGUGUUCUAUUUUAAGUUGUUUAUGUUGUUUGGUCUGGGAGGGGCGUGUCGGGGCAGACGGGGGCGCGUGGCUCAUCGAGGGCCUAACGGAUGGAGGCGUUAGGGGUUGGUAGAUGGUGCAAUCAUGGGGGUGCUGCCGCGCUGGGUCCUGUGCUUUUGUGGUGGACGUGGCAGGCUGCGAGGGGAGUUAGAGGCGCGUGGCACGUAGAAGGCCUAGCGGACUGGGCCAGGGGCCACGGGCGUACUCAGGCCAUAUGCGUGGAGGAGACGAAAACAUAUGCGGGGGUGAUGACUUGAGCAGGCAUGGGCGGAUCCAUGUAGGAGAUACUGGGUGCGGCCGCACCCAGACCAAAGUACGAAAUACACUAUAGUAUGCAUGUUUCUAUGGUAUUCGCACCCCCUAAUCCAAACGUCUGCACCCAUAACUCUGCUGAGUCGACCGAGAGAGGCCACAACAGCCCACAAAUCCCCAACACAUAGCCCAAUAUCAGUCAGGCCCCCGUCCACAUGGAAUCAUUGGCAACUUGGCCAUCACUUCGACUCAUGCGAAAUUGCCGACGCAUCAUCUCCCCUUGGCGACAGCGCGAACUCCGGUGGAUGGUGACCUUCUGCCACUGGUCGUCGACUGUGGCUGAUCAGCCAUGGGCAUUGUUGUGCGCUGGCCAAGCAUGUAGCCUUAGAGUCAAGAGCACCAAGAGCACAUCAUAGUCCGCCCCAUUGCCUUAGCUGUAAUCUUCUCUAUUAUGUUCAUAUUUCAAAAGUCAAAGUAAGCAACUUCUAAAGUUCUCUAUUCUUUCAAUUUCAGUCAGUAUGAGCAUCCAAAUUGUCUUCAAUUUUGUGGUUCUUUCUUUCUCACUACUUUGUCCAGAUUCUAGGAUUAGACUUUUUUUCUUUCUCUGAUGUUUGAUAAUUGAUAUUUAUGAAAAAUAUGAAGCAAACAAAUUGGUUUCGGUUGCUUGUUUGCUCAGCCCACUUUCCAUCCAAGAGAUCUAUUUCAUGAUUUUAAUAUGAGAAAACUGAUGGAGCUAGAAAAUGAUGUAGAAUUAAUAUAUAAAAGUAAUGCAUAUAUUAGUUUGGGCGAGGCACCAAAAUUGGUACAAGCACCAUCCCUAAAAGACCAGGAAGAAAAACUACAAGCAUGACCGCAACUUCAUAGCUCCUUUAUAUAUUAUGAGGCAUUUAUUCUAAUGUAUCGGAUCACCGUACAAAAGAAAAAAAGUUUUUUUAGCAAACUCCUAUUAUGGUCUAAAAAUGCGUGAUCGGUGGCAAGUAGCAACACACCAUGUUAUGAAAAAAAUAAACAUGUGAUCGGUGACUAGGUGCAUUAUGUAUGGUCGCACCCCUCUCUAAAUUUCUCUAGAUCCGCCAUUGUGAGCAGGACCGCGUGGUUAGACACAACUGCCACAAGCGUCCGGACGCAGCGCCCGGAUCGGACGUCCGGGCGGGCGAAAGAAGAAUAGUUAACAGGGGGAAGGAUUAUAAUUAACAGACUUCUGUUUGAUAUACAAUGAUAUUCGUAACCCUCUCCUUCUCACGCUACUAGCCCUAUGAAACUUGCACUCAGAACAAGCGCAACUAUGCCUAUUAAGGGUCUGUUUGGCACAGCUCGAAACAGUUUCAUGGGUAAAGCUUUUUUUUCUCUUCCUACGAAGAAAUGAGUUAAAAUAAAACUGAAAAAAGUAGUUUAUCCUAGUCUUUUAUCCUAUUUCUUUUUUUCAUCCAUGCAUAAAGCUGUUAGUGAAGCUGUUUUUGCUAAACAUCCUUUUAAAAGCAGCUCAACUUUACUAAAAAAAAUGUUUAUGAAGUUUUUUUUCUAAAAAAACACAGUUUCACUAACAAAGAGUUGUGCCAUUCGCCACCCAGCAACUUUGUAUUGGGCUUCACGACCCGAGCACUCCUUCCUUGCGCUGGCUCCAGUAGUACCACAAGACGCCUGCGCAGACUGUCUGGAGCUCACACAGACACAGAGAGGCACACGGAGCGUUGGUAUGCUUCUCGGCCCAGCGCGCUUGCGGCGAGUGGGCGCGCGGGCGCCCGAGUCCCGCGCCCUCGCCACUCGUUUUCCGGCCCUGUCCCUCCCGUGCUCUCGGAUCCUAUCAGCGGCGCGGCGGCUACUCCUCGCUUCCUAUCCCAAGCUGUGCUAGCUAGCUUCCCGCGUGCGCUGCCUUGUGCCUCCCGUGACCGCAGAUCACGUCGCCUCUCUCGGUGGACGUCUUUCACGCUCCGGUGACGCGCGGCGAGAGCCCGUGACCGCCGAUCGACCUGCUCCUGGGGUACUACUGCCCGUGGGAUUUUUCCACCGACGACGCGUGCAUCGACCGAUUUGCCGCCGGCCGGACCCAGCAGCCUUUAUCUUAUCUUCUGCAGAGAAACGUGUACGACCAAUCCCAGCGCCCCCGCCGGCGCCGUGCCAAGCUAGCACAGCCGCGCGCGGUGGUGCAUGCAUGCAUGCCAUUGCCACCGGAUGAUGGAUGGAUGCUCGAUCGGUACCCCCAGUGCAAGCCUCGCGCGCUGAACGGUGAAGCAGUGUACAGUAGGCCCGCGGCCGGGCCGCCGGGCGUGCGCCAAAACGACGGAGGGCAGUCGGUGGAGCGAGCGCCGGCCGAGCGCGGGAUCAAAUGGCGCGUGGCAUGUCAUGUGAAGGCGCAAGUACCUGGAAUAAUGACGGAUCAGCGGCCGGCGGGAGGGAGGAGGGGGGUCCAUGAUUUCCGUGCAAUUACGCACAGCGAAAACACUGUCCCACCGGCCGGCGCCUCUGAUCCCCUGGCCCUGGUCCUGGCUCGCUCCGAUCCGUCGGUCGUCGGUCCGGAGGACGGACGGGAUCGAAGCACACACGCGACCCGCUACGUACCGGGCUACAGGAUCCACCGUCCACGUCAUUUGUUACAGUAGUAAGUACAGUACGUACUACUCCGGCUAAUGCCUUGAAGGUCGAAAGCUAUACGUAUAUGAUGAAUUUAAUCAUCGAUACAUUCCUUUCAUCAUUUAUGGAUCUACCCCGACCUGACCUGACCUGACCCGGUGAUCUCGGGCGAAGGAUGGUCACGCCCGAGACUUCCAUCAUGUCCCCUGCUAGCUAGCUAGGCCCAUGCGUCCGGCUCCGGCCACCGCCGUAAAUGCCAUGCAUGCUCCUCACAAACGAUCGACAAAUCCUUGCUGACAUUGUAGCACUGGUCCAUGUAGUAUACUCUACGUUUUUUUUUGCCUUGUUUAGGUUCAUUUUUUUUUAGAUUUUUGAUUUUGACACCGUAGUAUUUUUGUUUGUAUUUGUCAAUUACUGUUCAGCCAUGAAAUAACUAAGCUUAGAAAAUUCGUCUUGUAAAUUACUCCCUCCUUUCAAAAAUCUCCAGCGUAUUAGCAAAUUUUUUUUUCUUCAAAAGUCUCCGUCGUUUAGGUCUGGAACCACGCUCCUGCAUCGUUCCAGGCACCCGCGUAGCUCCUCGUACGCGUACACAUUCACUUCUGCAAUGUUGCCCAUCGCUUCGACUAGCCCCUCUGUUUCCUCCCGUUAGAAUGCAUACGUGAGUGCGGGCGUUCGGUCUUGCGUGCGCUAAUGGCUGCAUGUUUCCAUGCUUCUUGGUCAUUGCGUCCAGGGCUUAAACGCUGGAGAUUUUUGAAAGGAGAGAAUACAAGCAAACUGCGUAAUUAGUUAUUUGUCAAUUAUUGUACAAUUAGUUAUUUUAGCACCAAACUAAACAAGGCCUAAACAAGACCUUUGUUUCCAAUUUCCAGAACGAGAGUGAAUUAAAAGCUUCAGACUUCAGAACCUAAAAGUAAUUAACUCAAACGCAGAUCACGCAUGCUGCUAAAAUCUAAUACGGUAUACGACAAAUCAAAAUUUUGGCCUCAGAGUCCGCAUGCAUGCAUGAUCAUAGCUAGACGACACAUAAUGUGUUGGUUUACAAACACCCACACGUACGUACGAAUACGAUGCAUCUUAUUCUCAUACGCGACCACGCACACAUGCAUAUAAACAUAACACUUUCUCUUGAUAAAUAAAUGGCCAAACACUUUAAUAAAGGUCAAUAUCACUAUCGCUAGUCACAAAUAACUGUCAUUAUUAAUAAUUAAUUCGGUUGCAAGGAAGCUUUAAAAAGACUGAACUGUGGACGCCAAACUGUUCGCUUUCGUUUGAGUUUAUCUGCCAAAAUCUACCCGUCAUUCAGCAGUAUUUUUCUCUCACAAUAAAUCAGCGAACAGUACUUUCAGCCAUAGCUUACCAGACAUAUUCUAAAGUAGUUUCAAUAAAUUAUAGGUUUUAUACUAUCAUGAUCAAAUGGUCAUACUAGUGUCUUAUAUUAGUGGUUGUGUUCAUGUCCUAAAAGACAAUAGACCGUGAUUAGACAAAGUACUAAUUAAGGGGUUGUUUGGAUCUCAUGGCCUAACAAUUAAUAGCUAAAAAUUAGUACUGCUCUAUCCAAAAAGGAGGUACUAAUAAGGGGGUUAAUUUUUAGCCAAUCCCUUAGCCAAUUGUUAGUUCAAUAGCCAAGUAUAGUGCUAAGAGAAACUCAAGAAACUCUUUAUAUAUUUUCUAAUUUAUAGAACUAGAGAUUUUGGUUUAAAAAAUACAAUCCAAUAGUCUCUUUAAAUGAAUAUCAAAAUAUAGACAUCCUCUGUUCUAAAUUUCUUGCUAGCCAAAAUGGAGAGUGAGGAUGACUAUCUACAGCGUGCAUUAGACAUAGAAAAGUUGUUAGAAGGUUCAAAGAUAUAGAAAAUGAUUUUUACUCAAAUGACUCUUAAAAUGCUUAAUUAGAGAGUAAAUUGUAGAAAGACUCUUGGAGAUGCUCUAAUAAGAGCUAAUAGUUUAUUAAUUGCUAUAUGCACAUCUUAGCCUGGGAUCAACAGGCAGGGGCUAAUAAUUAGAUGGUUAAUUUUUAGCUAGCCAAGUUUUAGCCCUGACUAAAUAAAACCUAAGCACCAGAGGCGUCUAGAAUCCCAGAUGACUGAAAACUCAACAUCUACUCAUCAGAACUAAUUUAAUCUUCUAAGUAGUAUUUUACAAACAAGUUUCCACUACACUUGUAGUAUCUUCAGCACGUAGAGGUACUUCCUCUAGCACAUACAAGCAAUUCAAAAUUUGUACUUAAAUACAAGAAACUGUAAGGGACAAAAAAACAUUUGCAUUAAAUAGUAGCAUUUUUCAUUUAUCAAAUGAUCACCAUUAACUAUGUCGACGAUAGCAUUUGAUUAGGAAGUAAAGUGAGUGCAUAUAUGUCCUUUUUGUUCACUCUUAAUCUAUUCUAAAAUCUCUGGAAUGCACUAUAUUACAGGACAGAGAAAGUACAUAUAUAUGGCGAUAACUACAUAUAUAUCUAUCUACUUAACAGUAGGAAAUAAAGCAUGCACAGCUGCACAAGAAAUAACUAGUGGCAACAAAGUUAAUUAAAUAUAUAGACGAGUUCAUCUAUAGAAAAGAAAGUAUACAUAUGUGAUGUCUCGCUGGAUCCCAUAUGAACCAAAAUGUCUGCAUUAGAAAUAAUUCUCUACUUUGAUUCCGAUCUUCCUAUCUUGCAGCAAACUAACCAAAAUGUUUUAACCUAAAGAGUGCUAUAUAUAGACCUAUCUAGUAUCUACGUACUAUACUAACUUAGAAAACCAUUAGUUAUACCAAGAUAUCGUGCACGAGACAAUUAGGAUCUUUGUAAUACACACAAGACAAUGUUUAACAGAGGCCAAUAGCAUAUACAUGGAGAAACAACAAUAAAAAAGUGAUACUUAAUAACCACAGCUUAUUUCUUUCAAAAGAAGUUGUCCAGAUGAGUCUCCGUCGUCGUAUAUACCAGGUAUGCACAACAUCUAGGUAAAAGUUAAAGAACCAGACGUACCAAAUCUCUACGAGGAUACAUAUUUUUGAACCAUUUAAUAUCUUUUGCAUCCAAUCCUAACUAAAAAGGAAAUCACAUACUAUUUUAUAAUAACACUAAGAUCAGAGUUCUCCAUCCAGAAACAAAUAAGUAGUCUGCUACGCUGGUAGUGUUCUUCAGUAAAGAACAAAUAAACACUUCCCCAUUGUUUACUGACGAGCUAUAGGUACCAGUAGCCCAAGUAGAUGAAACGUUGAAGCCCCAGCUCAAAAGCUGGACAACUUUUUUUUAGGAAACAUUAACUGAACAAGUAUUUGAGAUUAUACAUAUAUAUGAAUCCAUAAUAAUGAAAUGACACAUAGUAUUUGAGAUUACACAUAUAUGAGAGUUGAUAAUAAUGAAAUGACAGAUAAUAUAUACUACUCUUCAAUGAUUUUCUCUUUAAUUUUAGCAGUAAACGUAAUCCUCAGAUUGGGGGUUGUUGCGUAGGAAAAGACUGAAAGAGGUGCAUGCAUGUGACGCUAGGAGGACUGGCCAAUACGAUACCAUGGCAUGCUAGCAGUAGCAGGGGUAGCUCUUGCUAGCUUUAGCUUGGCACCAGCUAGCUGCACCUGGACCUCUCUCAUAGAUACUAGCAGUAUGCAAUGCCCAAGAGAGAUUUGGGGCAGUCAAAGAAUCUUGUUUAGCAGGCUGCUGGUCUUUCUCAAGCUCGUGAUUCGUGAAUACGGUUGGGCUGAUCGGGUAAUGUGUUGCGUGUAGUUCCUAGUAUAGAGUACUAGCAUGUAGUGAAUCUUAUUAUCUUACUUCUUCUUCUUUUUUCCCUCACCCACAAAAACAAAAUGCACAUAUUAAGGUAAAGCUAGACUUGCAACAUCUUAGAAAUAAAGCGCGUUUCAUAAGGAGAUAUCAAGGGAAGGUAUGGAUCGAACGAAGCUAAAAGAUGCACAUAUAUUUCAUGUUGUUCAUGUGAUCUUAUCUCUCUAGAAAACAGCUGGGCUAGUUGUAGCCGUAUAUGUUCGGGUCAUGGAUCAUAUCAAUCAAGAAACACAUCGUCUCAAACUGAUCUCUCUGAACGAAGUUCCCUCAACUAGAAAAGUAGAAAAGCUCAAAGAAUAUAACUAGUGAAAUAUUACAUGAAUCAAACUCCAAAUCAAAGAGUGAUCGAACUGAAAUAAAUCAAUCAAAAGACAAACGAAUCUUGCUGUCUGCACAAACCAUAUAUAGAGACAGAUCGAGAAUAAGAACAUGUAGGAAUAACAUAUAUAGCAUAUAGCAUGACAUACUCUUUCACAAGUACGUAGAUCCUAGCUAGGAAAGAAGACACGGAUGAUUUCGGACCAAGACGCUUGAUUCCCCAAAGCCAUGGCGACGCAGUGUUACAAAGACGAAGCUGAAGAGGAGCUGGUGGAAGGAAGAAGGAGAAGGAGGAGGAGGAGGAGGAGGAGGAGGGAGGGAGAACUGCACCGAUCUGAUGAUGGCUUCUUGACUCGAUCGAACGAUAGAUGUACUACUAGAGUAGAUCGAAGAGAUCAACCACGCCAUCAUCAUGCACCAUGCACCUCUCUCUCUCUCUCUCUCUCUCUAGCUUUCUGUCACCUCCCCAUCUCCCUCUCUCUCUCUCCUCCGAUAGCUGCCCCGGCCGGCCCCGGCCCCGUACGCUGCCGGCCCUCCGCUGAAUUUCUUCAUGGACUAUAGCUUCUCCGGCCUCUUCCUCUUGGAAGUAGGUGGAGGCGACUCUCUUGAGGAGGCGGUGAGGCAAUCAUGGCGGCCGAGGGCCCGAGGAGCUUGGGGCAGCAUGAUUGCAUCUUGGAAGUAGGGGGAGGGGGAUGAGAGGCAGAAGAGGAGGCCUCUCCUCGCAUCACAUGGUGUGGUAUGAUGGAGGGGCACAUCUCAUCACUAGUAGCCGGCCGGGCGGCCGCACACAUCUCUCCUUGGUUUAUUGGGCUCGCGCGACCUGCUUGCUGCUGGUCUUCUUUCUAGGGGGUCUCCUCCUCCUUCCUCCUGUACGGAGUUCAGGUGAUACCGACGGCAGUGGAUUAUGACGGAC
rnacentral:lncRNA from 1 species